UACCCUGGAGAUGUGUUUGUUUUCCCAGUUGGUCUCAUCCACUUCCAGCUCAAUAUAGGGAAAACUAAUGCAGUUGCCUUUGCUGGUCUCAGCAGCCAAAAUCCAGGAGUAAUCACUAUUGCAAAGGCAGUCUUUGGCUCAAACCCUCCCAUCAAUCCUGAUGUUCUCACCAAGGCCUUCCAGCUGGACAAGAAUAUUGUUACCUCUCUUCAGUCCCGGUUCUGGUGGGACAACAAUUAAUUUGAAUAAUGUGUCAUGAAUCCAUAAGAUAUGGUAGUUUUUUAUUUUGAAUAAUGUGUCAUCCAUCUUCCUUGCUGUUGUCAUAAACCUAAUAAUAAUGGAUCAAGUGAUUACAUUUGUACCUCUCCUUUGCUGUGUUCAGCAUUCUAUAUAUUAAAAUUUUUUAGGCCAUAACACUGCAUUCUAUGUAUUCUGUGCGCCUUUGAACAUGUGGAGUGAAAUUUAUAAUUAGUGGUUAAUAGUGCAAUGCUGUCAAGAGGGAGAAAUGUACAAUUGGUGAAGUUGAUAUUUGCAGACCUGAUUAGAAAAUUAACGGGGCAAGUUAAUCAGUACAGUUAGGAAAAAAGACUAUAAAUUUGGCAAAUAAAGAAUGCAGGGUAGGUUAAAUAAAAUGUGUACAAUUAACAUCACACAACCUCUCCUCCUCUUUCCUCCCAAGGAAACCCUAAAGGAAUAAUAAUUCUGAUCCUUUCAGAUGCAUGCAUGAUAAGCAGGUUUCCUAAGUUUGCAGGUCAAUUCUCCAAACAAUAAGACCUUAAACGCAUCCUAAGGAAAAAACAUGAUCUGGCGAGAUGACAGCAAUUAUUGAUAUAAGUGAUCACAGUGAAAUGAGACCUAUUAGUUACUAAGGCUUUUAAUUGAGUGUGUGACCUGCAACAUCGAUCCUUGAAUUUGGGCAAAUGAUGCCUGACCUUACAAGAAUUUAAGUGUAACUUAUGUGUGCAUGCCAAACUUUUAUCAGACAAUAAUGUGAAUAAUGAUUUAAUAAUAGGCCUAAGUCUCACCCAGCAAGGACAAAGUGUAUUAAAGUAAUAGCAAUUUUCCAAUACUUUCUCAUCUAGAUGUCUGAAUGUUGCGAACACUGAUGUUUGGAUGUUGAAAUCAGCUCAACUUAGUUUGCUUUUUAUAGUUAUCAGAUAUUAUAUAAGAAGAUAAAAGGAACAAAUACAUUUACUUAUUCUUCUUUCUAAAGCCAUAUGUUUAUACUUAGUAAAACAAAGUUUAGAAGAUUUUCCUGACAAUUUAUAACCUUUGUUUAUGUUCAGGAUUUCUGUGAUCUUUUGCUAAUUAUUAUUAUCUGUUCAUCUUUGUAGUAUUUAGCAAGUUAACUGACUAGUUUACCAUUCUGCUUUUCUGCUUAAACAACAGUUCAAAAAAGAAAAGAAAAAAUAAUAAAGAGAAAAACAUAGCCUAAUUGGUUCACUUUAGCCUAUUCAGGCCUGGGUUUAGCAUGCACUUCAGAAGGGCCUAUAUCUUGAUUGUAGCUCACAUCUAUACUUCUCCAACUGUUGCUUCAGUGAUUAGUUCAAAGUACUGCAUUCUUCAAGAAGUGGUCAAAUUUUGCAAUUUGCCAAUUCAAGCAAGGUUAAUCUUGCAAGAAUCCUUGCUUUUUUAGUCAAAGGGGCCAUAUGUUUUAUUGUCCAGGAACAUGUCACAUUAGACUUUGUCAACUGAGACAAAAACUUUACAGAGUCUCUCUGCCUUACAGGUUUGUUACGUCCUUUUUGCUACAUUCAAUUUUUGGCAAUAGUACUACUUCAGUCACACUAUUGGUUUGAGUACCUUUUUCUUUCUGAAUACAGAACAUUAUUUUUUUAUCUGAGCUGCUCUCCAAAUAUGAUUUAUUGAAUCAUAAAUUUGUAGCCCGAAUUUCCGUUGAAGUGCAAUGGACUACUUACAUGUGUCAUCUGCCACAGCUGCAAAUGCAAGCAUGUCUAAUUUAAAUACUAUGAAAAGGAAGAAGUACCUGUAAGGGAAACUGUCAACUUUUGAAUUGCAAGAUCAAUUAGCUGAAGCGCCGGCAUCCUGCAGCAAUUAUCAAUUUGUGCUAAAGUCAAUGAAGUAGGUCAGUUUAAAUUGAGUACCAAUGUUCACAAACAAGGAAAGGAAGGAAACUUUUGAUAUGUACAACAAGACCACUUCCAUGUCUAAAUGCUGUGAUGUAAGCAUUGGAAGUGGGCAUUCGAAGAGGAUAUAGAUGCAUGGUUGCUGAGGAAUUAUUCGUCCACAAAUUUAAAGGAAAAAAAAAAAAAAACCAAGUCACUGCUGACUUGGUAAGUCCUUGAUGAGAAAGAUCAAAUACUUGUUCAAAGACUCCAACCUAUAAAUAGGCAUGCUUUCAAAAGGUUUACUCACCCAAAGCAAGAAAACUUGGAAGACUUGAAUCUAGUAACCUGCCAAGCUACAAUGAAAGGUGUUUAUUUCCUGGCAUCUUUUCUCUUUUUGGCUCUGGCUUCCUCAUUUGCCUCUGCCUCUGACCCUAGCCCUCUUCAAGACUUUUGUGUAGCCCUCAAUGACACUAAAAAUGCAGGUAUGUUUUCCCUUAAUUUCUCUGUUUUCAUUUGAAUUUACCGGGGUAUGCAUAAACUAAAGACAUUCAGCAAGGAUGCAAUAAUGCUUCUAUUCUCCAGAACAAUAAUAACUAAAAUGAAUCUUUUCUUUCUUGCGUGCUUGGUAUCAACAAACACUUUUCUCUUUCAUGCAGUAUUUGUGAAUGGGAAGUUCUGCAAGGACCCAAUGCUUGCCAAAGCAGAAGACUUCUUCUUUUCAGGGCUCAACGUGCCAGGAAACACAUCAAAUCAACUGGGGUCAAAAGUCACUCCUGUUAAUGUGGAACAAAUUCCAGGACUUAACACUCUUGGCGUAUCUCUGGCAAGAGUUGACUUUGCACCUUAUGGUGGGCUAAAUCCCCCUCACACUCACCCUCGUGCCACAGAGAUCCUAGUUGUCCUAGAAGGCACACUCUAUGUCGGCUUUGUCACAUCCAACCCGGAUAACCGUCUCAUCACCAAAGUCCUCUACCCUGGCGAUGUUUUUGUCUUUCCGGUUGGUCUCAUCCACUUCCAGCUCAAUAUAGGGAAAACUAAUGCAGUUGCCUUCGCUGCUUUCGGCAGCCAAAAUCCAGGAGUUAUCACUAUUGCAAAGGCAGUCUUUGGCUCAAACCCUCCCAUCAAUCCUGAUGUUCUCACCAAGGCCUUCCAGCUGGACAAGAACGUAGUGAAAUAUCUUCAGUCACAAUUCUGGUGGGAUAACAAUUAGACCAAUAUUCAACAUCCAUGAAGCAGUAGACAGUUUGGAGCAAUAUCUUACAUGUUUCCAUCAUUAUUUAAGUAAUUCUUGUUGAAGUCAAAUAAAGAGGUUGCUUAUGUAUCUCCACUGAUGUAAUUCUCCCUGUAUGUUGGUUUUGGAUUUAUUAUGUUAUUACGGUUUACUCCAAAUUAGUACCAAAUCUCAACUUUUAUCUAGAUCUCAUUGGAAGCACCCUUUCUGAGAAUACUUUAAUUAAGGUCUUGGAAUCUGACAUGGGAAGAUUUAUGCAAAACAUCAGAGGAUUUCCAGAAUUGGGCUAACUUUAUGUUUCUUGCGGACGAACUAUUUAGGAAAGUUGCAAUCUUUUUUUUGAAGAUUAAAGAGGGUCAUUUCAUUAUAUGGAAAUAUUACUUACAAAAACAGACAGUUAUCAACUGGUGUUCCUCCAGUUAAACUGUCCUAGGAUGGCUUACGAAAAAACAGCCAUGACAGCAACCUGUUAAACUAUACAGAGAACAAGAGUCCACCACCCUGCUAUCAGACUCCCAACAAUCAUGUAAUACCCCUCACAAAGUAUUUAUAAAAAAAAAAAAUUAAUUAAAUUAAAAUUAUUAAGCUAUAGUUUUAUAAACAUAAUAAGUAGAUAUUAUUUUAGUAUUUUAUUUAUUUACAAUUAUGACCUUGGGUGUCUUAAUAAUUAGAAAAUAGAAGAAGGGGUCUUUAAGUAAAAGAAGAAGUUUAAUUAAGUCAGUUUUAUUAUCACGUUUAAGUUAGUGGGAUUAAAGGUCAGUUUAUUUAUCCCAUUUAAGUUAGUGGGGUUAGGUAGUUUAUAAGUUUUAAAAGAACAGACAACAACUUAUGUUAGUUCAUUCAUCAGAUUCAAACAACAGACAGUCAGAAAAGCUUAAUAUCAGGGAAGAAGAAAGACAGAGGAGAGGAAAAGAUAUUGCUGAUUAAGGUAUGUUUAGGAAUUAUAUUUUCAUAAUUUGGGUACAAAAACCCUAAAUUAGAUAUAUUUUCUUAUUUUUUUUAUUUAAAUCCGGUACUUUUCUGAUGACUUUUCAGUAGCAUGAUGGGUACCAAUGGAAAGGUCUUGAAAAGAUCUUUCCAAUGGUUUUUGUAGCAUCUUGUUUGGGCUUAUGGUUAGGAAUAUAUGAAUUUUUGAAGUUAAUUAGAAAUCUGGUUUUCAACAGUUUUGACAGCCCGACUUUGGGUCACCGGAACUCCAUAUUUCGGUGACGUUUUUGGUCGUUUCUUUGAGGGCUUUUGAAGUAUGAAAUUAGAUGUUUAAUUUGGCGUCAAUGUCUUGGUUAGAGGCUUCCUGUGUUAAGAGAAUUAAAGCCUCAAAGUAGGCUCAUUGAUACUGGAAACUCAGAAAUCUGGGUAUUUCUGUGAUGAUUUCUUGAAUUUUGGCUUUCGAAACUUAGGAAUCUUGUGGUCUUUUUAAUCGAAACAAAUUUUGGUCUUGUAGUAUGAUAUGCAUACUUUAAAUUGGUGUUGAUUUCAUCACUGGAUAUAAUUCGGGUUAAAAGAUAUGAGAGCUUGAAGUAAGCCAAAUGGCCAUCCAGAUUCUGGAAAUUCCAGAAAACAGAAAAUUUCUUUUUUUAAAUUUGUUUUAAAAAUUGAUUUUAAUUAUUAUGUGAUAAAUUCUAUUGUAAAUUUCAUAAAUAUUGGAUAUGUGAUUUCUACUGUAUUUUUAUGUUAAGAAGUAUGUAUCUUUAUACUUUAUAAAUUUAUUUCUUAAAUUAGUAGAUUUUAUUAAAAUAUCAAAAUUUAUGAAAUUAAUUACAAAUAUGAUUUUUACAAGUGAAAUUAGUAUUAUUUCUCUAUCUGAAAUUUAAAGUCCUUACUGAUUUUAUGAUUUAAGUUUAAUUCUCAACCUUAUUGGAAAUUUUGUUUAAUUCAAAAAUAUAAAUAAUAAUAAUAUAUUACCUUAUUAACAAAAAAAAAAAAUUCAUAAAUUGUAAUAGGAGUCGCUACACACUCUAAGUACUUAGGAUGGUCAACGAAAAGUCGCCUUGUAGAAUCUGUUUGCAAAUUUAGUUCUGAUUUUUGUGUUUCUCGAAAUACUAGGCUACUAAGAGGAUUUUCGGAUUUGCUACUUGAAAGUAAAAUUUACGAGAUCAUGUAAGUGACUGAUAUCCCUUCGGUGUUUUCACACCUUAAAAAUUAGCUUCAAUCUGAAUUUGUACAUGAGAUAUAAUAUUUUGUCCUAUGAUUUAUUAAAAUUGGGUUGAGCAUGCAAAAUGUAUAUGUAUAUAAGUUUAUAUGUUAGAUUUAGAAUGUGGUUUAUGCAAAACGUGAUUUCUGAAUUGGAAAUUUGGAUAUGACUUUGUAUGAUGUAUGCAUAUAUGUUUUCACGAAUAUAAAUAUAAAUAUUUAGUCUGAAACGAAUAUGCUUUUGAGGUGUAUGAGAUAUACUUGAGAAAUUUGAUAUACUGGUUUAUGAACUUUGGGUAAUCUAAAAAUAUAUAUAUUUCUGUUUUGUCUCCUAGCAUGGCUAUGCUCUGACCCUGCCAAUGGGGGUUAAAUGUUGGCCAUGUUGACAUGUAUUCUGUGAUUAGAGAUCGAUCUCCCAACCGCACCACCGGUUACAGAAUAGUGGUAUCUGUGAUAUCUGUUCAGUGCAGCCAAUGGUUGCUUCUUCUGACCCAUGCCACUGGGGUUAAUUGUGGUUCUAUUUCUGACCUAUGCCACAGGGGUUAAGUGUGGUCGUAGCAUGUUACAGGAGACCAUUAAAAGUUAAAUAUGGUGAAUAUAUUUGUUUUGUUAUUUGAAUGCGCAAAUUUUGAAAUAUGUGAUUCCAAAUAAGAUUACCCAAUAUUUUGUCUUGGCAUUUGUAAAUGAUAUUUUGCCCUGAAUGUUUUAAGCAUGCUUAAUCCGGCUGAAGGGAUGUUAGUUACUUGCUGAGUAGUUGGACUCACCCCUUCCUUCAAAUUUUUUUCAAGUUGUGAUUUGGUCAACCACGCGGGAACUUUGGGGAGUGAUGUUUAAUUUAGUAGCACUUAAAUUAUCUAGGAUUUAUUUAAAUAUUAUGAACAUCGUACUAUCUUAAUUAGUAUUCAGACUUUUAUCUUGACUUAGUAGCUUCAUGGUUUUGGAGAUUUAAUUUUGAAUAUUGUCGAAUUAUGAUAUUUGGAAAUUCUGUCAACAGAUAUAGUUUAUAAAUCACUAAAUUUUUCAGGUAUAUCAGUCUCUUUUAGUAAUAGUUUAAGAUAUAUAUUUUAGAGCCUUGCAUGUCUGUAGGAUUAUGCCUUACAGGUAUGCGGCGUCUGUCAUGUCUCGGGUCUGGGGCGUGACAAAUAAACAAGACAAUAAUCAAUAGGUAACCUUCUCAGAACAGCAACAUAAAUCACAGCAAGGCAAACAAUAAACUCAAAACAGUAAACCACAAACACCACCGCAAAAGAACAAGUAAGACUAAGAAACAUGUCUUGAGUCCUAUUUCUUGUUCUUACUUCUCCUGGGACCGUUCAAGGGGCAGAAUUCCUCUUGACCUCUCAUUUCUUGUCACCAUGGUGCUAAGAAGUUAAGGAAAGUUGCAAUCUUAUUUGCCAGAAUCCAGAACACUCUAAAUUUUGUUAAGAAGAAGUCAAAGAACUAGUGCUACUGAGAAGGUUCUACAAAGAAUGCAUGUUAGGACUAGUUGUCAAUCAAUUUGUCUUCAUAGGACCUGAAAUAUUGUGGACCUUAACCCUUCAUGAGAAUGUCUUGGCAUCGCGCAAGCAAAUAUUUUCCCAUUGGUAACCAUCUAGUCUAAGCUUCAAGUUCAGGGCCUUCCUUCAAGUCAAUGGAUUAGUUUUAACAAUUGCGACUGGAUUGUCAUUAUAUAAAUUGUAAACGAUAUGCAACUAUUUCAAUGAGAAAGAGCAAUCUUUAAGAAAAGACUAUUUUUUUAACAAGCUUUUCUAAAUAUAUCGGUUUCACUAGAUUUCUAUUAGACAACUGAUAAGAUCUUUUUCAAAUUUUUAUAAUGCAUUCUGCUCUAAACAAUAAUCUGAUCAAAUUCUAUCCAUCUUGAUAAUCUCUAACAAGAAAUAUUGUUACAUGAAGACACGAGCGUUAUGUGUGUUAACCUUCCUUGAAUUUGACUUCUUAAUUUCGAUUUUGGUGAAUACUUCUGUUAAUUAUGAUUAACAAUUAUAAUUUGUGAAUCUAAAUAUGAAAAGUUUUCUAAUUGGAUGUAAACUUUGACAUAUUAUCAUCGAAGAUCGUUUCAAGAUUUAAUUUUUAAAUUUAAGUUAAUAUCUACCAUACCAUCUCGAAUUUGACGAUAUAUUAACAUAAUUAUAAUAAUUGUAGAAAUUAUAAGUUAAAUUAAGAUGAUUGUGUUAAAUUACAAUAUCAUUUUCAUACUGUUAACUUAUUCUUUUUUGAAUUAUUAAAAAUUUCUUACAAAUGUAUACCUUUAAAUCAUUAAAAAUCCCUUACAAAUGUAUGCAUUAUUAAACGUUUUGUGAAGGCACAAUCAAGAAUACAAUAUUUCUCUUUGAAUUAUAGAUAUAGAAAAUGCCAAUUUUUUUACUCAAAAUUAGGACCUUCAUUUUAAAUUAUAUUUUACUUGUAAAAUAGAACUACAAAAUAUAACCAAUAAGAACCUUAUGAAAUAGAAACUGCCAUAACUAAUUGAAAAUUUAUUUCAUACGAUACCUAAUACAUAUCAAAAACCAAUUCUUUUGCAAAACAAUAACCAGUGAUCAUGUCUUGAAACAAAAACUAUCAUAAUUGUAAGAAUAACCAAAGACUACUCAGAAUGAUUUGGGUUUAUUUUAAUGAGAAGUUUGGAAUAUUCAGUCGACUAUGGACAUUAGUAUUGGAUGUUGCAAUCUGUUCAACAUUAUGCUCUAUUAUAUGUUUCCUGAGUGGCUUAUGGUUAGAUAUGUCAUCAUCACCUACCAAUUUUUUAACUACUCUUCUUUAUUUUCUCUUCAACAAGUUAGCCGGUGUUGCGAUUUUAAGAACUUUAUGAAUGAACAAGUAAGAAAUAGGAAGAGCAAAAAGCUCUAAGAUAGGAUUUUAUCUUCAUAGACCAGAAAAUAUAAUUCUCCCUUAUAAAGAUCGGUGGAACUGAAGUAUCAAAUCCUGAAGUAGCCAUUGAGUAUAAACGAAAAUCAAAGGAUGAUUUGAAAGCAAAGGAAACGUUGAGGAAUUAAUGAAAACGGUCCCUUAAUAUCAAGCAAAAUGCUCUGAUAUCAUGUUAAAAAAAUAGCAAUUUUCUAAAAUAAAUAUAUGAACAAAUAUAGAAGAAAGAAAUCGAGAGAGAUGUGAGAGAACAAAAAAAACUAUUAGACACUAAAUGACAAAAAGCUCCAACUCACUAUUAAAUCAUAUGCCUUUUGUUUAUAUACAUAGAGGAGAGAGAGAGUAAAUGACAGCUCACAAGAAAACAAACACCUGGCUAUACCAAGACUACCAAAAAAGUUUUGCGUUGGAGACUGCAAAAUAUUUCUUUCUGACAGCUCACGAAAACAGAGGAACAAAAAACAAAAUGGUAGGACAAUUUUGCUACUUUGAAGAAACAUCUAGAAAUAUAAAAAAUGACACUAGUAAUAAACUAAAUGACAUAGCAUUUAAUCAAGGCAUAUGUAAAUCACGUGCUUUUCUUCUUCUUUCGUGAACCUCAACCACAAAACCAGUUGUCACGCCCCUGACCAGAUACAUGACAGACGCCGCAUACCUAUAAGGUAUAAUCCUACAGAUAUGCAAGGCUACAAAAUAUAUAUCUUAAACCAUUACUAAAAGAGACUGAUACACUUGAAGAAUUUAGUGAUUUAUAAACUAUAUCUGUCGAUAGAAUUUUCAAAGAUCAUAAUUCGACAAUAUUCAAAAUUAAAUCUCCAAAACCAUAAAUCUACUAAGUGAAGAUAAAAGUCUGAAUACUAAUUAAGAUAGUUCGAUGUUCAUAAUAUUUAAAUAAAUCCUAAAUAAUUUAAGUGCUACUAGAUUAAACAUCACUCCCCGAAAUUUUCACGUGGUUGACCAAAUCACAACCUGAAAAAAAUUUGAAGGAAGGAGUGAGUCCAACUACUCAGUAAGUAACUAACAUCGCUUCAGCCGGAUUAAGCCUGCUUAAAACAUUUAGGCCAAAAUAUAUCAUUUACAAAUGCCGAGACAAAAUAUUGGGUAAUCUUAUUCAGAAUCAUAUACUUCAAAAUUUGCACAUUCAAAUAACAAAACAAUUAUAUUCAUAAUAUUUAACUUUUAAUGGUCUCCCGUAACAUGCUACGACCACACUUAACCCCUGUGGCAUAGGUCAAAAUUAAGACCACAAUUAACCCCGGUGUUGCGGGUCAAAAGAAGCAACCAUUGGCUGCAUUGAACAGAUAUCACAGAUACCACUAUUCUGUAACCAGUGGUGCGGUUGGGAGAUCGCUCUCUAAUCACAGAAUACAUGUCGACAUGGCCAACAUUUAACCCCCAUUGGCAGGGUCAGAGCAUAGCCAUACUAGGAGACAAAACAUAAAUAUAUAUUUUUAGAUUACCCAAAGUUCAUAAAACAGUAUAUCAAAUUUCUCAAGCAUAUCUCAUACAUCUCAAAAGCAUAUUCGUUUUAGACUAAAUAUUUAUGUUUAUAUUCACGAAAACAUAUAUGCAAACAUUAUACAAAGUCAUAUAUAAAUUUCGAAAUCAGAUAUCAUGCUUUGCAUAAGCAACAUUCUAAAUCCAACAUACAAACUCAUAUACAUAUACAUUUUGCAUGCUGAACCCGAUUUUAAUAAAUCAUAGGACAAAAUAUUAUAUCUCAUGUACAAAUUCAAAUUGAGGCUAAUUUUUAAGGUGUGAAAAUACCGAAGGGAUAUCAGUCACUUACCUGAUCUCGUUAAUUUCACUUUCAAGUAGCAAAUCUGAAAAUCCUCUUAGUAGCCUAACAUUUCGAGAAACACAUACAUACAAAAAUCAUAACUGAGUUUGCAAACAAAUCCUACAAGGUGACUUUUCGUUGACCAUCCUAAGCACUUAGGGUGUGUAGCGACUUUUAUUACAAUUUAAAAAUAUUUUUGCUUAAUAGGAUAAUAUUUUAUAAUAUAUAUAUUUUUGAAUUAAACAAAAUUUCCAAUAAGGUUGAGAAUUAAACUUAAAUUAUAAAAUCAAUAAGGAUUUUAAUUUCAGAGAGAGAAAUAACACUAAUUUCACUUGUAAAAAUCAUAUUUAAAAUGAUUAAUUUCAUAAAUUUUGAUAUUUUAAUAAAAUCUACUAAUUUAAGAAAUAAAUUUAUAAAAUGUAAAUAUAUAUACUUUUAGAUAUAAAAAUAUAAUAGAAAUCACAUAUCCAGUAUUUUUUAAGUUUACAACAGAAUUUAUCAUAUAUUAAUUAAAAUUGAAUUUAAAAAAAAUUAAAAAGAUUAAAAGAAUUUUUUUUCUGGAAUUUUCAGAAUCCAGAUGGCCAUUUGGGCUACUUUAUGAACUUGUAACUUUUAACUCGAAAAUUUUCCAGUGAUGAAAUCAAUACCAAUAUGAAUUAUUCAUAUCAUACUAUAACACCAAAAUUUUUUUCGAUUAAAAAGAACACCAAAUUCUCAAGUUUCGAAAGCCAAAUUUCUCAAAAUCGUCAUAAAAAUACCCAGCUUUCUGGGUUUCCAGUAUCAACGAGCCUAAUUUGAGGUUUCAAUUCUCUUAACACAUGAAGCUUCUAACUGAGCCAUUGACUCCAAAUUAAACAUCUAAUUUUAUACUACAAAAGCCCUCAAAGAAAAGACCAAAAACGUUGCCGGAAUAUGGAGUUCCGGUGACCCAAAGUCGGGCUGUCAAAACUGUUGAAAACCAGAUUUUUAAUUAACUUCAAAAAUUCAUAUCUUCCUAACCAUAAGGCCAAAUAAGAUGUUACAAAAACCUUUGGAAAGAUCUUUUCAAGACCUUUCCAUUGGUACUCAUCAUGCCACCGGAAAGUCAUCAAAAAAGUGUCGGACUUGAAUAAAAGGUAAGGGAAUACAAAUAAUUCAGGGCCUUUUGUGUGCCCAAAUUAUGAAAAUAUAAUCCCAAACAUGCCUUAAUCAGUAAUCUCCUUCCCUUUUCUCUGUCUUUCUUCUUCCCUGAUAUCAAGCUCUUCUGACUGCCUGUUGUUUGAGUCUGAUGAACAAACAGACAUGUGUUUCUGUCUAUUCUUAAACUAACUUAUCCACUAAUUUAAACGUGAAAUAAACUGACCCUUAAUCCCACUAACUUAAACGUGAGAAAUAAACUGACUUUAAUUAAACUUCUUUAUUUACUAAAAGACCCUUUCUUUUAUUUCCUAAUUAUUAAAGCACCAAAGGUCAUAACUGUAAAUAAAUAAAAUACUAAAUAAUAUCUACUUAUUAUCUUUAUAAAACUAUAGCUUAAUAAAUUUAAAUGUUUUAUAUUAAAUACUUUGUGAGGGGUAUUACAUCCUUCCUUCCUUAAAAGGAGUUUAGUCCCUUAAACUCUUACCUUGGUCCUCAAAAAGGUGGGGAUACUUCUCUUUGAUAUUUUCUUCCAACUCCCAAGUCGCUUCUCGUUCUGUAUGAUUACUCCAUUGGACCUUAACAUAGAGAAUAGUCCGCCUUCUUAGAAUUUGCUCCUUUCUAUCCACAAUACGUAUAGGACGCUCAUCAUACGACAAAUCUUCUCUGAGUCUCAAAGGAGCUAACUCUACAACAUGACCAGGAUCCGAAAUAUACUUUCUCAACAAAGAAACAUGAAACACGUUAUGCACUCCCGAUAAAACAGGUGGAAGUGCCAACCUAUAAGCCACAUCAGCAACCUUAUCCAAAAUCUCAAACGGACCCACAUAACGAGGACUAAGUUUUCCUCGAAUUCCAAAUCGCAUUACUCCUCUAGUAGGUGAAACUCGCAAGAAGACAUGAUCUCCAACCUCAAAUUCUAACCUCCUUCUUCUAUUGUCCGCAUAACUUUUCUAUCUACUUUGAGCCGCACGAAGAUGUUCUAUGAUUAAUUGAACCUUCUCAACUGCUUGCUGAAUAAGAUCUGGACCUAAUAACUGUCUUUCACCCACAUCAUCCCAACAAAGAGGUGAUCUACACUUCCUACCAUACAAAGCUUCAAAUGGAGCCAUUUGGAUACUAGAUUGAUAGUUAUUAUUAUAAGCAAAUUUUGCCCACAACAAGUGUCGAUCCCAAGAACCCCCAAAAUCCAUGACACAAGCUCUCAACAUGUCCUCAAGAAUUUGAUUAAUUCUCUCAGACUGACCAUCUGUUUGGGGAUGAUAAGCAGUACUAAAAUUAAGUCUGGUACCCAAAGCUUUAUGCAGACUCUCCCAAAAUUUUGCCACAAAUCAAGAAUCUCGAUCAGAUACAAUGGACACUAGUACCCCAUGUAGUCUCACAAUCUGCUCCACAUACAACUCUGCUAACUUUUCCAACGACAUUCUCGUACGAAUAGCCAAGAAGUGAGCAGACUUUGUUAAUCUAUCCACAAUCACCCAGAUGCCAUCAUUACCUUUUGGGGUUCUUGGUAAACCAGAUAUAAAGUCCAUAGUAAUUCGUUCCCAUUUCCAUUCUGGAAUAGGGAGGGGUUGCAACAAUCCUGCUGGCCUCUAAUGUUCAGCCUUGACUUGUUGACAUGUCAAAUAUUUGGCUACAAACUGUGGAAUCUCCUUCUUCAUAUUGCUCCACCAAAAAGUGUUCUUCAAAUCUUUAUACAUCUUGGUACCUCCAGGAUGGAUUGUAUAAUUACUAUAAUGAGCUUCCUCCAAAAUUUCUCUCUUCAAUUCUGCAUCAUCAGGGACACAAAUCCUAUCACCAACCUCAAAGAGCCAUCAUCAUGAAUUUUAAAGUCUGGUUUCAAACCAGAUUCAACCCCAAGUUUAAUGUGCUGAAGUCGAGGAUCAUUUACUUGGGCUGUCUUAAUUCGGUGAAUCAAAGUUGGCUGUACUCGUAUGUUAGCCAAUAAUGCACCAAAACCAUGCAUACGUACACCAAUAUCCAUCCUCCGCAAGUCUUCCAAAAUCUAUUUCUGGGAAGUAAUCGUUGCAGCCAUAUUCCCAGAAGUCUUCCUACUUAAAGCAUCAACAACUUUAUUCGCCUUACCUGAAUGGUAAUUGAUGGUCAAGUCAUAAUCCUUCAACAAUUCUAAUCAUCUUCUCUGUCGCAUAUUCAUUUCCUUCUACUUGAAAAGAGACUUCAAACUUUUAUGAUCUGUAAAGACCUCACAAGAAUCACCAUACAGAUAAUGUCGUCAAAUCUUUAAGGCGAAAACCACCGCAGCCAACUCCAAAUCAUGAGUAGGAUAAUUCUCCUCAUAAGGUUUCAACUACCUAGAAGCAUAAGUAAUCACCUUAUCAUCUUGCAUAAGAACACACCCAAGUCCCUUUUUGGAAGCGUCACUGUAAACAACAAAUCCCUUACCACUAGUAGGUAUGGUAAGUAUAAGAGCGGAUACUAAUCUUUUCUUUAACUCCUCAAAGCUCCUUUCACAGUCAUUUGUCCACUCGAAGCGAACCUCUUUCCGUACCAAUCGGUCAAAAGCAAAGCCCAGAAAACUGUGAAUCUUUGAAACAUUAUUUGGUCGCUUCCAAGUCACCACUACUUCAACUUUCUUUAAAUCCACCGAAAUCCCAUCCUUUGACACCACAUGCCCAAGGAAAGCAACACUAGAAAGCCAGAAAUCACAUUUUUUCAAUUUAGUAAACAAUUGCUUCUGCCUCAAAGUCUCCAAAACAACCCUUAAAUACUUUUCAUGAUCUGUUGAGCUAGGGGAAUACACUAGAAUAUCAUCAAUAAAAACAACCACAAACUUAUCCAAAUAAGGUUUGAAAACCUUAUUCAUCAAGUCCAUAAAAGUAGCUGGAGCAUUUGUCAACCCAAAAGGCAUAACAAGGAACUCAUAAUGCCCAUAUCGGGUACGAAAAGCAGUUUUAGGGACAUCUUCAAUUCUCACCUUCAACUGAUGGUAACCAAACCGAAAAUCAAUUUUGGAGAACACCUAAGCGCCUUUUAAUUGAUCAAACAAAUCAUCUAUCCGAGGUAAAUGAUACCUAUUCUUCACAGUUGCCUUGUUUAACUCUCGAUAAUCAAUGCACAACCUCAUACUCUCAUCCUUUUUCUUUACAAAUAACACUGGAGCUCCCCAAGGAGAUACACUAGGUCUAAUAAAGCCAUUAUCAAGAAGUUCUUGUAACUACUCUUUCAACUCCUUCAAUUCUGCAGGAGCCAUUCUAUAAGGAGCUUUAGAAAUAGGACCAGUUCCUAGAACCAAAUCAAUAGAGAAAUCAAUCUCCCUAUCAAGAGGUAAAUUAGGUGGAUCUUCAGGAAAAACAUCAGGAAAUUCCCUCACAAUAGGAAUCUCUUCAAUCCUCAACUCCUUCAUUCUAGUGUCUGUAACAGUUGCCAAAAAUCCUUUACAACCACAAGCAAGCAAUCGCCUAGCUUUCAAAGCAGAGAUGAUUCACAAAUGAGUGUAAAUACCACUACCACAAAAAUAAAAAGGUGUUUCCCCAAGGAUCUUAAAGUCCACCCUUUUCCCUCGACAGUCAACUUUGGCAAAGUUUGCAACUAACCAAUCCAUCCCCAAAAUUACAUCAAAAUCUUGCAUAUUUAAAACAUGAAGAUCUGCAAGCAAUUCUCUAUCAUCAAUCCUUACCACACACAUCUUACAAAUCUAAUCUGACAUAAUUUCACCUCUAACUAGAGUGUCUACGCAUAAUUCAUAAUCCAGAAGCAUACAAGGCAAAGUAAACUUUCGAACAAAUGCAACAGAUACAAAAGAAUGAGAUGCACCGGUAUCAAACAACACAUGAGCAAAAGCUGAGGCAACUAGCAGUGUACCUGAGACAACGGUGUUGGAUGCCUCUACAUUUGACUGAGUGAUAGCAUAACCACGCCCCUGAGUGCGAGGUCUUCCCAUUUUUUGAUGUCUAGAAGAAGGUGCUUGCGUAGUCUGAACAACAUGAGUGGGCUGAGUCCUUUGCGCUGUAGUUUCAAAGGUUCGAGAGUUUUGUGGCUUCUGCACAGAUUGACAUUCUGGGAGGACUAAAGGACAAUAAGCAAUACGAUGGCCCAAUUGGCCACAUCUAAAACAAGCACCAGUAACACGCUUAUAUUCAGUAGCUUGAUGUCCUCCACCACACACUGAACACCUAAGCCCUUGUUGGGAUGUCUUGCCAUGGUACGAUUGAGUUCUCCAAGGAGGAAGUCUAUCCUUAAAAGUAGCGAAAUCUCGAGACUUUUCAGUAGUUUGAAAUUUAGAAGGACUACUAAAAGCUCUCUUACCUCGAAAGUCUGAAUCUUUGCCCUUUUUUUUCUGAAAAUCUUUCCUUGCCUCUUAAGUCUCUCUCCAUAUAGCAUCUAAGGAUUUUGCCCUACCAACCACUUCAUUGUAGCUGAUCAAGUGCAAUGGAGCUAAGCCUCUGUGGAUGUGAGCAUUCAAACCAUUUUCGAACCUCCUGGCCCUACUCUCAUCGUCAGAAACUAGAGCAGUGACAAACUUGGAAAACCGAUCAAACUCAGCCUCAUAGUCAUCCACUGUCAUACUGCCCUUAACCAGAUUAAGGAACUCUCUCUCCAACUGUAACAGCUUGCUUCGAGGGAAAUACUUGGCAUAAAAAGUAAUGCAAAAAUUCUCCCAAUUGAAGAACUCAGGGUCAUUGUCAUGAGUGCGCGUUACUCCUUUCCACCAAUUAUGUGCACUUCCUUGUAAUAGAUAGACUGCGAAUCUAAUUUUGUCUUGAUCACUGGAACGCAUGGCAACAAAAGCUUUCUCCAUCUCCUCAAUCCAUAAUUCUGCAUCAUCCGGGUUUAUGGAACCCUUGAAAGGAGGAGGGGCUAUCUUUAAACUCACCUAAAGCCUUCCAGUUAGAAGAAUUGUCAACCUGUUGGACCGGUUGUAGGCAUUGUCGUUCUCCCUAACCAAACCAGCUACCUCCUGUAUCAAGUUCAACACUCUAUCAUCAUGUCCAGCCACAACACCUUGUGUCCCCUCAAUCGGGUUUGUAAGAGGUCGGUCAAUUUCAACGGCCAUAUGAGCAUAUGAUGUUUCAACAUCAUCUUGAUUUUGGCUUAGAGGAUUUGGAAUUCUCUCAUAACGAGACCUCCUAACACCAACUACUCUAGCACUAGCCACAAGUUCAGCGAGAUUAGGCUCGCGGUCUCGAUGAGGAGGCAUACUGAUUUUUUAUAACAAGAAAAAUUAACAUUAACAUUUUUUUUUACACUAACACAAAGCAACCAUAAAAGUAUAACAAACAUGAAUUGAGAGAAAACGUCCCAAUCCUUUUUUUUUUUUACCCAUCUCUCGAACCUCGCACAAGUGUUAUGUAACUACAUAAUUAUGCCUAACCUGGCUCUGAUACCACUAAAUCUAUCACGCCUCUGAUCCGAGAUAUGACAGACGCCACAUACCUGCAAGGUAUAAUCCUACAAACAUGCAAGGCUUUAAAAUAUAUAUCUUAAACCAUUACUAAAAGAGACUGAUAUACUUGAAGAAUUUAGUGAUUUAUAAACUAUAUCUGUCGAUAGAAUUUUCAAAGAUCAUAAUUCGACAAUAUUCAAAAUUAAAUCUCCAAAACCAUAAAGCUACUAAGCCAAGAUAAAUGUCUGAAUACUAAUAAAGAUAGUUCGAUGUUCAUAAUAUUUAAAUAAAUCCUAAACAAUUUAAGUGCUACUAGAUUAAACAUCACUCCUCGAAAUUCCCGCGUGGUUGAUCAAAUCACAACCNUGAAAAAAUUUUGAAGGAAGGAGUGAGUCCAACUACUUAGCAAGUAACUAACAUCCCUUCGGCCGGAUUAAGCAUGCUUAAAACAUUUAAGCCAAAAUAUAUCAUUUACAAAUGUCGAGACAAAAUAUUGGAUAAUCUUAUUCAAAAUCAUAUACUUCAAAAUUUACGCAUUCAAAUAACAGAACAAUUAUAUUCACAAUAUUUAACUUUUAAUGGUCUCUCGUAACAUGCUACGACCACACAUAACCCCUGUGGCAUAGGUCAAAAAUAAAACCACAAUUAACCCCGGUGGUACAGGUCAGAAGAAGCAACCAUUGGCUACACUGAACAGAUAUCACAGAUACCACUAUUCUAUAACCGGUGGUGCGGUUGGGAGAUCGCUCUCUAAUCACAGAAUACAUGUCGACAUGACCAACAUUUAACCCCCAUUAGCAAGAUCAAAGCAUAGCUAUACUAGGAGACAAAACAUAAAUAUAUAUUUUUAGAUUAUCCAAAGUUUAUAAAACAGUAUAUCAAAUUUCUAAAGCAUAUCUCAUACACCUCAAAAGCAUAUUCGUUUCAGACUAAAUAUUUAUAUUUAUAUUCACAAAAACAUAUAUGCAUACAUUAUACAAAGUCAUAUAUAAAUUUCGAAAUCAGAUAUCAUGCUUUGCAUAAGCAACAUUCUAAAUCCAACAUACAAACUCAUAUACAUAUACAUUUUGCAUGCUGAACCCGAUUUUAAUAAAUCAUAGGACAAAAUAUUAUAUCUCAUGUACAAAUUCAAAUUGAGGUUAAUUUUUAAGGUGUGAAAACAUCGAAGGGAUAUCAGUCACUUACCUGAUCUCGUUAAUUUCACUUUCAAGUAGCAAAUCUGAAAAUCUUCUUAGUAGCCUAACAUUUCGAGAAACACAUACAUACAAAAAUCAUAACUGAGUUUGCAAACAGAUCCUACAAGGUGACUUUCCGUUGACCAUCCUAAGCGCUUAGGAUGUGUAGCGACUUCUAUUACAAUUUAGAAAUAUUUUUGCUUAAUAAGAUAAUAUUUAUAAUAUAUAUAUUUUUGAAUUAAACAAAAUUUCCAAUAAGGUUGAGAAUUAAACUUAAAUUAUAAAAUCAAUAAGGAUUUUAAUUUCAGAGAGAGAAAUAACACUAAUUUCACUUGUAAAAAUCAUAUUUAUAAUUUUUCAGAAAAUUUUGAUAUGUUAAUAAAAUUUACUAAUUUAAGAAAUAAAUUUAUAAAAUGUAAAUAUAUAUACUUUUAGAUAUAAAAAUAUAAUAGAAAUCACAUAUCCAGUAUUUUUUAAGUUUACAACAGAAUUUAUCAUAUAUUAAUUAAAAUCGAAUUUAAAAAAAAUUAAAAAGAUUAAAAGAAUUUUUUUUUCUGAAAUUUUCAGAAUCGAGAUGGCCAUUUGGACUACUUUAUGAACUUGUAACUUUUAACUCGAAAAUUUUCCAGUGAUGAAAUCAAUACCAAUAUGAAGUAUUCAUAUCAUACUACAACACCAAAAUUUUUUUUGAUUAAAAAGACUACAAAAUUCUCAAGUUUCGAAAGCCAAAUUUCUCAAAAUCGUCACAAAAAUACCCAGCUUUUUGGGUUUCCAGUAUCAAUGAGCCUAUUUUGAGGCUUCAAUUCUCUUAACACAGGAAGCUUCUAACUGAGCCAUUGACUCCAAAUUAAACAUCUAAUUUCAUACUACAAAAGCCCUCAAAGAAACGACCAAAAACGUUGCCGGAAUAUGGAGUUCCGGUGACCCAAAGUCAGGCUGUCGAAACUGUUGAAAACUAGAUUUCUAAUUAACUUCAAAAAUUCAUAUCUUCCUAACCACAAGGCCAAACAAGAUGCUACAAAAACCAUUGGAAAGAUCUUUUAAAGACCUUUCCAUUGGUACCCAUCAUGCCACCGGAAAGUCAUCGAAAAAGUGCCGGACUUGAAUAAAAGUUAAGGGGAUACAAAUAAUUCAGAGCCUUUUGUGCCCAAACUAUGAAAAUAUAAUCCCAAACAUACCUUAAUCAGUAAUUUCUUUCCCUUUUCUCUGUCUUUCUUCUUUCAUGAUAUCAAGCUCUUCUGACUGCCUGUUGUUUGAGUCUGAUGAACAAACAGACGUGAGUUUCUAUCUAUUCUUAAACUAGCCUAUCCACUAACUUAAACGUGAAAUAAAUUGAUUCUUAAUCCCACUAACUUAAACGUGAGAAACAAACUGACUUUAAUUAAACUUUUUUAUUCACUAAAAGACCCCUUCUUUCAUUUCCUAAUUAUUAAAGCACCAAAGGUUAUAAUUGUAAAUAAAUAAAAUACUAAAAUAAUAUCUACUUAUUAUUUUUAUAAAACUAUAGCUUAAUAAAUUUAAAUGUUUUAUAAUAAAUACUUUGUGAGGGGUAUUACACCAGUGAAGUACUUUCCUUCCAGAAACAAAAGCCAAUAUUUCAACAAAUCCACUUCCAGUUCAAUAUAGGGAAAACUAAGGUUGUCGCCUUUGCUGGUCUCAACAGCCAAAAUGCAGGGGUUAUAACUAGAAAAAAUUGUGAGAAAUAACUUUCUUCAUAAGAUCAAUUCAAAAAUAUCAUUUUUUUUUAUAAUUUUAACUAUUUUGGUCAAUUUUUGGCAUAACUUGACAAUAAUACCCCUUAAACAAUUUCAGACAAAUUAAAAUAAUUUCAGUUUUCUCUCUCCCGCCAUACGGAUAAAAAUUUCAAAAUUAAAUCUCGAUUUCUCUCUUUACUCAAAUAUGUCUAUCUCGUCAUCCAAUUUGUAGAGAUGACAUCAAGCUCUUUCUUAUUUUGUUUUAUUUUUUUAGAUAGUGGAUCUUGGGGUUCUUAAGGGCGAUGAACAGCGAUUUUGCUCUUUGCAGAUAGCGAUUUUGCUUAGGGAGAAAAAACAUCUAAAGUAUGUUUGAUGGGUUUUAUAGUGUUUCACAGUUUUGUUCUGUUUGGGAUUAAGAUAAUUGUUAAGCAUGUUUGCUAGGGAUUUUAAUUUUUUUUAUGGGAUUUUGAGUUGAAACUAUUCAGGAAAUAUUUUGUAAAUAGGGUAUAUUUUGUUUUUGUAUAAGGGAAGUGAGCAAGGCCUCCAAAUAGGGAUAUAUUUUCUCUUGCUUUGGAGAGUUAUGGAGUUUUGCAACCUAUCUUUUAUGAAAUACACAAUUCCAUAGCUUAGUAAAAAAAAAGUAUUUGUUUUAGGUUUUUGAGUUUAUUGGUUUAUUCAUAGAACCCUAAAAUUGAGAAGUUGAAAUUGAUUAGAUUGGUUUUUAAGUAUUAUGAGAUUAGUUUUUAGGUAUUGCGUGACUUAAUCACUGUGUGACUUGUUUUUAGGCAUUACGUGAUUGGUUUUAAGUAUUACGUGAUCGAAUUUUAAACAUUGCAUGAAUGAUUUUUAAACAAUGCCUAAGUUACACAAUGCCUUACUAACAAGUCACGCAAUACCUAUCAACUAGUCACGCAAUGCCUUAUCAGAAGCUAGUCAUGCAAUGCCUUAUCAAAAACUAGUCACGCAAUACCCAAAGUUAGUCAUGCGAUGCCUAUCAACUAGUCACGCAAUGCCUAUCAACUAGUCAUGCAAUGCCUUAUCAGAAACUAGUCACGCAAUGCUUUAUCAAAAACUAGUCACGAAAUGCCCAAAGUCAAUCACGUAAUGCCCAAAGUGAGUCACGUAAUGCCUAUCAACUAGUCACACAAUGCCUUAUCAGAAACUAGUUACGCAAUGCCUUAUCAAAAACUAGUCACGCAAUGCCCAAUGUCAGUCACGCAAUAUCUAAAGUCAGUCACGCAAUACCUAAAAACUAGUCACGUAAUUCUCAAAAAUUACCAAAACUACUGAAUUCCAUUAACAAGAUCAACAACUUCAAAUGAUCCACUAUAUUCCAUUUAACAAUAUAAUUAAUGAAUAUGAAUGCUCAAAAUGUUCAAAAGUUUUUUUUCAUAUGUCAAAAAUCACUCUAAAAUGCUUAAAAAUGCUCAAAACGCUCACAGGUUUUCUUCGUGUAUCAAAAACAACUCCAAAAUGCUCAAAAUGCUUAGAUAUUUUUCUUUCUGAUAAGGAAUACUCCAGAGAUAAAUAGUUUGAUGAAGAAAGCUCAAAAAAUAUGAAUCAGUUUAAGGCGCAAACCUAAACAUACUUGACUCGUUAAUAGGUUUUGUGUUGAGACGCGAAGUCAAAUAAACGGGUCGAUUUUAUUAAGGGUAAUUUUGUCUGAAUUUUAAUUCUCUUGGUUAAAAAUAGUUAAAAUUAUAAAGAGAUCUAUUGUUAAAAACACAUUAUGCAUAGGGCCCAUUUAAAAAAAGAACCCUUUGCUAAGGCCGUCUUUGGCUCACACCCACCAAUCAAUCCGGAUGUUCUCACAAAGGCCUUCAAGUUGGACAAGAGUGUGGUCACAUAUCUUCAGUCCCGGUUCUAGUCAGAUUAAAAACUAAUUUAAGAGCCAAAUCAAAACCCAGAAGUUUGUUACUUGUUUUGAAUAAUGUUGCCAUUAAUUUUCUACAUGAAAGUCAUAUCGUUCUACUUACUGUAAUACAAUAAACAGGCUNNNNNNNNNNNNNNNNNNNNNNNNNNNNNNNNNNNNNNNNNNNNNNNNNNNNNNNNNNNNNNNNNNNNNNNNNNNNNNNNNNNNNNNNNNNNNNNNNNNNNNNNNNNNNNNNNNNNNNNNNNNNNNNNNNNNNNNNNNNNNNNNNNNNNNNNNNNNNNNNNNNNNNNNNNNNNNNNNNNNNNNNNNNNNNNNNNNNNNNNNNNNNNNNNNNNNNNNNNNNNNNNNNNNNNNNNNNNNNNNNNNNNNNNNNNNNNNNNNNNNNNNNNNNNNNNNNNNNNNNNNNNNNNNNNNNNNNNNNNNNNNNNNNNNNNNNNNNNNNNNNNNNNNNNNNNNNNNNNNNNNNNNNNNNNNNNNNNNNNNNNNNNNNNNNNNNNNNNNNNNNNNNNNNNNNNNNNNNNNNNNNNNNNNNNNNNNNNNNNNNNNNNNNNNNNNNNNNNNNNNNNNNNNNNNNNNNNNNNNNNNNNNNNNNNNNNNNNNNNNNNNNNNNNNNNNNNNNNNNNNGUGGUUAGCUAUCUUCAGUCCCGGUUCUGGUCAGAUUAAAAACUAAUUUAAGAGCCAAGUCAAAACCCAGAAGUUUGUUGCUUGUUUUGAAUAAUGUUGCCAUUAAUUUUCUACAUGAAAGUCAUAUUAUUCUACUUACUGUAAUACAAUAAACAGGCUGGUUGAUGAUGGACCUCUCCAGUCUCCUCUGUCCUUGUGAUCAUUCUGGGUAUAAAAAUCAUAAUAUAUAUACGUCAAUUUGCAAUCUCUCUCUCAUGCUCACAUGUGUAUGCAAGGUAAAAAGCAGAUAGAAUUUUACAUAUACAAGUCAAGUAACUUUGAAGCAAUAUACUUUGUAUUCUUUUGCGAGUGUCAAAAUACAGUGCAAAAAUGAGAGGUUGAUUACCCAGUGGUCUGAGGUGUGCACUAGUAAUGAUAAACAUUGUCUGAUGAAGAGGUUGAGAUAUGAACUACUUCAACAUAACAUUAUAACCAGAGAAAUCAGAUUAGGGUGAAAAUUAGACAGGAUAUUAAUUUGCUGACUCUUGGGGUUGAAUCAAUUACAUAUUCAACACCAAACCCUGCCUUCCCCUGCAAGGUACACUGCAUAUAAAAUAAUUCUGAAGGUGGAAUUCUACAAAACCAAAUGCCUUACCUGUUAGAUAAGUUGGUAUGUUCAACUUCGAUCCAAUUAAUUGUGUCCAAAACAUCACUAAGAAGACAAGACAUGUCCCUCACUUUAUAGAGUAACCUGGUAGAUAUUAGGUGGAAAAAAAAUUUGAGGUGCAGAACGUUCUCUCAGUAUGCUUGUGAAACUAACUAAGGUUUUUUAUUUUUAUUUUCUUUAAUGGCCAGACAAGUUGAUGAGUUGUUAGACAAUCUAGAAUUGGAAUAUAUCCAUUAGGAUACUAAAGAGUUAAAUCUGUAAUGAAUUGAUUUUGUGACUCGGUGAAGUCAGUUGCUUAUUGAUGUAAUUAGAUCUUGAAUACUGGUGUAUGAGCCUAAACCGAAGCUGUCAGUUUGUCCAUAUAUUAAAGUACAAAUGCCUUGCCCUUGCUGCUACAUUUUGCCACAGCUAUCUACUUCAUCUGUUAGCUCAGGGCCUUGCACAAUCACCAUGUUGGUUACUUGCUCCUUUACUCCCUUUUCUGUUUCUGCCUUUUUCAGUAAUUCAGUUGUUUUAAAAUUGAGUGAUCUUACAAGAACUCAUGAGUCAUGACAAAUUUGAAAGACAAGUCCCUAUAAAUGUCAAGAGAAAUGCUUCUGCUCUUAAUUUCUUGUGGCAUCUAAUUAACUACGUAUGCUUCUUUGCCUAAUAUUAAUCUGAUGAUAGGUAGAAGCUGCCAUGAAAAUAUGAAACGCUUCUCAGAACACAUCAUAAGAUAAACUGAUUAAUUACAAAGGAUACAUAUAUAAUGUCAGCAACAAAUUUGUAUUAAAUAAUAACAUGUGAUCUCUCACAUAAAUAUGAUUCAAAGUCUUUGAAGUUACAGAAGUCUUCAAGCUUACCUUUUUUUUUUCACGUCUGGAAGACUGACUAGGCAAAUUUGAGUCAUUACACGUUACACGGUCACAAUUGCAAGUUGCAAUCCAUUGAACAGGAUCUGCAUAGUAUAAUCUGUUGAUAAUUUUUUUGUAGCUCAAUGUCAUUAUCACCUACCAAUACUUUUAACAACUAUUCUUAUUGUUCAUUAAUAAUGUUAUGCAAGAUAAUUAAUCACUUUCUAUUUUGCCAUUAGGCUUCCUUGGUUAGAUCACCAAAUAAAGAAAUCACCAACUCACCUCAAUGCUAAAAGAUUAUUCAUGUCUAUAAGAGUUACAACUGAGUCAUCACCCACAAUCUUGAAACAGUUUCUUCCAGCCACAGUUUUGCCAAUUCUAAGAUCAAUUCAAGGCAGCCCUAAUUAAUUUUUGGCUAAUUGAAGAUGUUUGAGUCUAGCAUGGUUAAUUGAACUUGCAAAAAAAUUAUUAAUGUUGUGAAUGUGAUAAGCACAGAUGUAAUAUGUUUGACUAUUAAUGAACAUGUCAGAUUAGACUUUGUCAACUGAAAAUAUAUAAUAUGUUGAUUAGUUAGAAACCUUCAAUGUGGCAUAAGUUUUUGUCUCAUUAGCACUUCUUAGAUCAUGCUAAUUAUAAGGAAUGAAUUGAGUUCAACAGACAAAACUUUGCCGGCUAUUUGCAGCAACUCCAGAUAUAAAUCAAUUAUCUCACUCAAAUAAUGAAUAAAAAAAAAGAAAAAGUUUAAGGUAUGAAGAAGACAAUGCAAAACUGUUUAUGAUCAAUUCAUAUUUGAUGGUAUGUGAUGCACUUCCUAAAUAUCUAUAAACUUAUUUACUAGGGAAACAUUCAUUUGCUACCUAAUCCAAAUUUUUUAUAAAUGUUUGUACUUUCAAAGAAGUGGCAAAUAAGUUAUGACUUUUUCAUAAUGUGGAGAAUUAUACCCCAACUGCAGGUUAUCAAAUAUGAACUUGUUUCUAGCAUUUCUUUCCACAAAGGCAACACAGAAUCAAUCAACGCAUCAAACUUCAAUCCAAAAAGAAAAAUAUAGGAAAGAUACAUAGAAGUCUUAAGUGAAUUAUGACCUGUUCCCCGACAAUAUUAAAAUGAUGUAAGCCAUGGAUGAGGAAAACGGGACUAGAAAAUAGAAAAUAGAAAAUAACUAGUUGUAAAGGCACAUGCCAGUAGUCACCAACUUCAUUGAGAGGAAACAAGGACCAAUUCAUUUGUUUUCCAUCUAUAAAUAGAACUUUUUGCCAUGCACGAUUUCUCACCCCGCUCCCAAGUAGUAGCAUACAGCUCCACAACGUAGGAUAGAUUUCCUUCCAGCGGAAUUGUAAUGAAAGGAGUUCAACUUUUCCUUGUAGUUUCUGCCUUCUUGGCCUUCGCUUGGUCAUUAGCCUCAGCUUCUGACCCUGACCCUCUCCAAGACUUCUGUGUAGCCAUCAAUGACACCAAGGACGGUGGUAUGUUAUAGUAUUACGUUUUGUCUCUCAGGACUUUCAUGUUAAUUAUUAUUUUAUGUCAAUGACUAUAAUUUCCAUUCCCAGCAAUAGUUUUCUUCAUAAUUAACGAACAUUACUUUCAUUGAUGCAGUGUUCGUAAAUGGGAAGUUCUGCAAGGACCCAAAGCUUGCCAAGGCAGAAGACUUCUUCUAUUCAGGGCUCAAUAUCCCCAGAAACACAUCAAAUCCAGUGGGAUCAACUGUGACUCAGGUCAAUGUUGCACAAAUACUAGGACUUAACACUCUUGGCAUAUCUCUUGCUCGAAUUGACUAUGCUCCGUACGGAGGCCUAAACCCCCCUCACACUCAUCCUCGUGCCUCUGAGAUCCUAGUGGUUUUAGAGGGCACACUUUACGUUGGCUUUGUUACAUCCAACCCGGAGAAUCGUCUCAUCACCAAAGUCUUGUACCCUGGAGAUGUGUUUGUUUUCCCAGUUGGUCUCAUCCACUUCCAGCUCAAUAUAGGGAAAACUAAUGCAGUUGCCUUUGCUGGUCUCAGCAGCCAAAAUCCAGGAGUAAUCACUAUUGCAAAGGCAGUCUUUGGCUCAAACCCUCCCAUCAAUCCUGAUGUUCUCACCAAGGCCUUCCAGCUGGACAAGAAUAUUGUUACCUCUCUUCAGUCCCGGUUCUGGUGGGACAACAAUUAAUUUGAAUAAUGUGUCAUGAAUCCAUAAGAUAUGGUAGUUUUUUAUUUUGAAUAAUGUGUCAUCCAUCUUCCUUGCUGUUGUCAUAAACCUAAUAAUAAUGGAUCAAGUGAUUACAUUUGUACCUCUCCUUUGCUGUGUUCAGCAUUCUAUAUAUUAAAAUUUUUUAAGCCAUAACAUUGCAUUCUAUGUAUUCUGUGCGCCUUUGAACAUGUGGAGUGAAAUUUAUAAUUAGUGGUUAAUAGUGCAAUGCUGUCAAGAGGGAGAAAUGUACAAUUGGUGAAGUUGAUAUUUGCAGACCUGAUUAGAAAAUUAACGGGGCAAGUUAAUCAGUACAGUUAGGAAAAAAGACUAUAAAUUUGGCAAAUAAAGAAUGCAGGGUAGGUUAAAUAAAAUGUGUACAAUUAACAUCACACAACCUCUCCUCCUCUUUCCUCCCAAGGAAACCCUAAAGGAAUAAUAAUUCUGAUCCUUUCAGAUGCAUGCAUGAUAAGCAGGUUUCCUAAGUUUGCAGGUCAAUUCUCCAAACAAUAAGACCUUAAACGCAUCCUAAGGAAAAAACAUGAUCUGGCGAGAUGACAGCAAUUAUUGAUAUAAGUGAUCACAGUGAAAUGAGACCUAUUAGUUACUAAGGCUUUUAAUUGAGUGUGUGACCUGCAACAUCGAUCCUUGAAUUUGGGCAAAUGAUGCCUGACCUUACAAGAAUUUAAGUGUAACUUAUGUGUGCAUGCCAAACUUUUAUCAGACAAUAAUGUGAAUAAUGAUUUAAUAAUAGGCCUAAGUCUCACCCAGCAAGGACAAAGUGUAUUAAAGUAAUAGCAAUUUUCCAAUACUUUCUCAUCUAGAUGUCUGAAUGUUGCGAACACUGAUGUUUGGAUGUUGAAAUCAGCUCAACUUAGUUUGCUUUUUAUAGUUAUCAGAUAUUAUAUAAGAAGAUAAAAGGAACAAAUACAUUUACUUAUUCUUCUUUCUAAAGCCAUAUGUUUAUACUUAGUAAAACAAAGUUUAGAAGAUUUUCCUGACAAUUUAUAACCUUUGUUUAUGUUCAGGAUUUCUGUGAUCUUUUGCUAAUUAUUAUUAUAUUUUUAUCUUUGUAGUAUUUAGCAAGUUAACUGACUAGUUUACCAUUCUGCUUUUCUGCUUAAACAACAGUUCAAAAAAGAAAAGAAAAAAUAAUAAAGAGAAAAACAUAGCCUAAUUGGUUCACUUUAGCCUAUUCAGGCCUGGGUUUAGCAUGCACUUCAGAAGGGCCUAUAUCUUGAUUGUAGCUCACAUCUAUACUUCUCCAACUGUUGCUUCAGUGAUUAGUUCAAAGUACUGCAUUCUUCAAGAAGUGGUCAAAUUUUGCAAUUUGCCAAUUCAAGCAAGGUUAAUCUUGCAAGAAUCCUUGCUUUUUUAGUCAAAGGGGCCAUAUGUUUUAUUGUCCAGGAACAUGUCACAUUAGACUUUGUCAACUGAGACAAAAACUUUACAGAGUCUCUCUGCCUUACAGGUUUGUUACGUCCUUUUUGCUACAUUCAAUUUUUGGCAAUAGUACUACUUCAGUCACACUAUUGGUUUGAGUACCUUUUUCUUUCUGAAUACAGAACAUUAUUUUUUUAUCUGAGCUGCUCUCCAAAUAUGAUUUAUUGAAUCAUAAAUUUGUAGCCCGAAUUUCCGUUGAAGUGCAAUGGACUACUUACAUGUGUCAUCUGCCACAGCUGCAAAUGCAAGCAUGUCUAAUUUAAAUACUAUGAAAAGGAAGAAGUACCUGUAAGGGAAACUGUCAACUUUUGAAUUGCAAGAUCAAUUAGCUGAAGCGCCGGCAUCCUGCAGCAAUUAUCAAUUUGUGCUAAAGUCAAUGAAGUAGGUCAGUUUAAAUUGAGUACCAAUGUUCACAAACAAGGAAAGGAAGGAAACUUUUGAUAUGUACAACAAGACCACUUCCAUGUCUAAAUGCUGUGAUGUAAGCAUUGGAAGUGGGCAUUCGAAGAGGAUAUAGAUGCAUGGUUGCUGAGGAAUUAUUCGCCCACAAAUUUAAAGGAAAAAAAAAAAAAACCAAGUCACUGCUGACUUGGUAAGUCCUUGAUGAGAAAGAUCAAAUACUUGUUCAAAGACUCCAACCUAUAAAUAGGCAUGCUUUCAAAAGGUUUACUCACCCAAAGCAAGAAAACUUGGAAGACUUGAAUCUAGUAACCUGCCAAGCUACAAUGAAAGGUGUUUAUUUCCUGGCAUCUUUUCUCUUUUUGGCUCUGGCUUCCUCAUUUGCCUCUGCCUCUGACCCUAGCCCUCUUCAAGACUUUUGUGUAGCCCUCAAUGACACUAAAAUUGCAGGUAUGUUUUCCCUUAAUUUCUCUGUUUUCAUUUGAAUUUACCGGGGUAUGCAUAAACGAAAGACAUUCAGCAAGGAUGCAAUAAUGCUUCUAUUCUCCAGAACAAUAAUAACUAAAAUGAAUCUUUUCUUUCUUGCGUGCUUGGUAUCAACAAACACUUUUCUCUUUCAUGCAGUAUUUGUGAAUGGGAAGUUCUGCAAGGACCCAAUGCUUGCCAAAGCAGAAGACUUCUUCUUUUCAGGGCUCAACGUGCCAGGAAACACAUCAAAUCAACUGGGGUCAAAAGUCACUCCUGUUAAUGUGGAACAAAUUCCAGGACUUAACACUCUUGGCGUAUCUCUGGCAAGAGUUGACUUUGCACCUUAUGGUGGGCUAAAUCCCCCUCACACUCACCCUCGUGCCACAGAGAUCCUAGUUGUCCUAGAAGGCACACUCUAUGUCGGCUUUGUCACAUCCAACCCGGAUAACCGUCUCAUCACCAAAGUCCUCUACCCUGGCGAUGUUUUUGUCUUUCCGGUUGGUCUCAUCCACUUCCAGCUCAAUAUAGGGAAAACUAAUGCAGUUGCCUUUGCUGCUUUCGGCAGCCAAAAUCCAGGAGUUAUCACUAUUGCAAAGGCAGUCUUUGGCUCAAACCCUCCCAUCAAUCCUGAUGUUCUCACCAAGGCCUUCCAGCUGGACAAGAACGUAGUGAAAUAUCUUCAGUCACAAUUCUGGUGGGAUAACAAUUAGACCAAUAUUCAACAUCCAUGAAGCAGUAGACAGUUUGGAGCAAUAUCUUACAUGUUUCCAUCAUUAUUUAAGUAAUUCUUGUUGAAGUCAAAUAAAGAGGUUGCUUAUGUAUCUCCACUGAUGUAAUUCUCCCUGUAUGUUGGUUUUGGAUUUAUUAUGUUAUUACAGUUUGCUCCAAAUUAGCACCAAAUCUCAACUUUUAUCUAGAUUUCAUUGGAAGCCCCACUUUUGAGAAUACUUUAAUUAAGGUCUUGGAAUCUGGCACGUGAAGAUUUACACAAAACAUCAAAGGAUUUUCAGAAUUGGGCUAACUUUAUGUUUCUUGCCGAUGAACUAUUUAGGAAAGUUGGGAUCUUAUUUGCCAGAAUCCAGAACACACCAAAUUUUGUUAAGAAGUUAGAGAUCUAGUGCUACUGCAUUCUAUAAAGAAUGCAUGGGAAAUAUAUAUAGUUAGGAGUCAAUCAACUAGUCUUCGUUUGACCUGAAAACAUUGUGGACCUUAACCCUUCAUGAGAAUGUCUUGGCAUUGCAGAAGCAAGUGUUUUGUCAUUGCUAACCAUCUAGUCUAGCUUCGAGUUUAGGGCCUUCUUUGAAGUCAAUGGAUUAGUUAUAACAAUUGCUACAGGGAUUGUCACCUUAUAAAUUGCAAAUGAUAGGCAACCAUUUCAACGAGAAACGGCAAUCUUUAAGAAAUAACUGUUUUUUAUACAAGUUUUUCUAAGUAUAUCGGUUUCACUAGAUUUCUAUCAUAUAACUGAUAAGACCUUUUUCAAACCUUUAUGGUACAUUUUACUCUAAACAAUCAUUUGAUGAAAGUUCUAUCCAUCAUGAUAAUCUUUGACAAGAAAUAUUGCUAUGAUGAAAAAGUGAGCAUCACACUUGUUAACAUAUUUAUAGUAAUUUUGAAUUUAUGAUUUUGACUUGCUGAUACUAAUUUUAGUUUUUUUAUUAGUUCUUAUUAUAAAAUAAAAAUUUUCGGCAUUUUUAGGUUAAUUGCAAUUAAUUUAACAAGAAACAAUUACAAUUUGUAGAUUCAAGUACAAAAAGAUUUUUUAUUGGACUUAAAUUUUGACAUCUUGUCAUUAUUGUGGAUGGUGCUCAACUACAAGUCGGUUUUAAGAAUUAGUUUUUAAAUUCAAAUUACAUCUAUCAUAUCAUCUUGCGAAGUUAAUACAAUUAUAAAACUAUAUAGAUUAUAAAUUAAAUCAACGUGAUUUAUUAGAUUGCCAUACAAUCAUUGUAUUGUUACCUUGAUUCUUUCAUAAAUAAUUGAAAAUCCUUUAUAUAUGUAUAUCUUAUUACAUAUGUCAUCUGCUAUUUUUUUUUUUUUUGAAAGUUAUGUCAUCUGUUAUUCGGAGAUAAAAUAUGUCAUGCCCCAAUCCCUAGUCAUGACACGGCCAUAUUAUCGUGAGAUUAGGUCCCAAAGUAAUACAAAACCUUUCCUUUCAUCAUACUUAUAAUAGUCCAAAAUUGAAGUCAUAAUAAUAGUUUUGUUCCAACAUAUUCACAUAAUUAAUUAUUAAGAUCCGACUAACGUCUUCAAGAAAAAUAAAUAAAUAUUUAGAACUUUAAAUAUCCAUUACACAUAGUAUGCGUUUCAAAGUAGUUAACAAUGUCUUGACACUAGGACAAACUUCUCAAUUUAUUCUCUUAGCUCACAUGAUCUUAAGGUUCAUAUCUUUAGUCAUCUGCAAAAUAUAAUAAAAAAAUAAGCAAACCACAGCUCAGCAAGUAUAGCCACACAUACACCCUACCGAAUCAAGCAUUGUUUUCAAUAUAACAUGUUGAUCAUUCAAAGGCAUUUCAAUAAAUCAUGCUUCCAAAUAGUUAAAGAAUCAUAUAUACAAAAAGGAAAAACAUAGUGAGUUCUUAAUCAUUGAUCGUCAUAUAUCAUUUUUAAAAUAUCAUUCUAGCAAAUCAUAGAUUCAAUCUUUUAAACUCGUAAAAUUUCAUCAUCUUAGUUACUGUCACUAUUAUAUCCCGUUGCAAGGGCCGUAUCGACUAAUCAUUUUCAUGAUCGUUACUCACUAUUAUAUCCCCUUAGCACGGCUGUUUGCUAACUAUUAUAUCCUGUUAGCACGGCUGUAGAACUAGUUCUAGUGUCGAUUAUCCCACUUCCCAAGGAUUAUUUCGUAGCUCUUAAAACAUUCUUUAAAGAUGAUCAAGGUUUCCUUUCAUUCAUAAAUUGAUAUUCAUCACAUAAAUCAAUCAAAGCAUUCAUAGAAUAAUGUUCGUCAUAUGUAUAAUUCAAAUAAUUUGAAAAUCCAAUUUUCCAUUACAUGAGUAAUAUUCAUCAUAUUACUAAGCUUAAAAAAGAAAAUAAUCAUAUGCUUGACCCUAUUUUCAAUAUACUAAAAUAAUGAAAUAAGACAUUUAAUUCAUUUAAGAAAUAUACAUAUACGAUAGUUUCGAAACAAGUAAAGGAGUGAAGAUAUAUUUACUGCCCUUCAUUCUAACAAACUCGCUUCCUCCCAAAGUAAUCAAAAGCCUAAUAAUAAUCAUUUAAACAUACUAGCAACCAUCUAACUCUCUAAAAUUUAUUUAUCAUCUAAAACUAUACAAAAUAAUCCAAACUCUCCCAAAUCAAAAAUCUGGACAGUUUGCACAUCAUUCACUAAAAUAACCAUAUCUUAAGCUAUGAAACUUAAAAGCAAGAUUUGUUUAGUGUGUUGGAAACUAGACUUGAUAAGCUUUCUAUCCAUAUAAAUCUCAAAACUUAUUUCACUGUAGGAAAGGUGCAGAAAAUUUUUGAAAUUGCCCCCGGAGUUGCUGCCAGGCAGUUUGCACUGUUUUUACCAAAAAAAAUUCAUAUCUUUGCAUAGGAAAUUUGGAAUCCGCUUCCAUUUGGUUCCUUAGAAAAUAGACUCAUGUAGCUUUCCAACCGUUUAUAACUCAACUAGUGAAACUCCAUAAAUCAUUUCAUAAUCAGACUCAAAUUGACUGGACAGUACAUGAAACUUGAUGCUACAAAUAGAUUUUCCUUUUCAAUUUCAAUUCAAAUUCUUGUAAAUCAAUCACAUGUUCUCUUUUUAUUUAAAAGAGGGUUUUACUCACCCUGUAAUGAUCGAUCCAGAAAUAGCCUUCAAAUGCUUAUUCUUCAAGUUGUUCUUGAAAAUCCCCAAAUCUUACACCAAAGUAUAUAGUUUUAGGGGUUUUCAUUAAGAUGACUGUCUAUAUUUAAAUAAUAUAUUUAUAUUAACCCUAAUGGUAUUUUAAUAACUUCAAUAUAAAAAAGCAAUUUAGGCCCAAUUAAUUGUAAAGGCUUAUCUAUUACUUUUUUUUUUUUGUAAAUACUUCAGUCCAAAUAUUAUUUAGGUUGGGGUAUUACAAAAAACCAGCAGUCUUGAAUCUUCUCAAAAUUUUUGUUUGCAUCAGUAUACUUCUUAAGCCAUGCUAUUUAUUUCCAAGUGAGGUUUGCUGGCCUGUUGCUAGAACUCUGGGUAUCAAUUGUUUGCCGCCCUGUUUCACCAUUAAAAGAUUGAAUCAGAAAAAAAAAUAAGAAACCAAAAAAACUUUUUCCAUGAAAAGGAAUGCAUUGUUGAUUAAUAGUUCCUGUUCUGUACAUGAGCAGUUUCAGAGGCCAUGAAAUGAAUACUGUUCUUACUGGGUGGCAGUGACAGAUAUAGUACAAAAUGCCAGCAAUAACCGGCAAACUUUUACUUGAGCAGAUUACAUAGCCCAGGAAAUCCAUUAUUUCUAACAAGUAAAGCCACGCAAACAUGGUAAUACAUUAACCAAAGAAUGUGCAAGACCGUCUUAUGUGAAUCGAUAGCGGCAUGAGCUACCUGCCGCUCCUCAAUGGCAGUAUUUGUGAACAAGGACCAUUCUUAACCUCAUUUAAUUACAAGUUAAAUUUUAUGGAGCGUCGGCAGCCCCACCAACAUUAGAAAUAUGCUGAAGUCAAUGAAUUUGUCUCAAUUUAAAUUCAGUAAAAAUAUUUAAGAAAUACAUGAUAUGUCAGGAAUGAGGUAAUGACAAAGAGGGAAUUAAUUUAUUGAAGAUGUAUAUACAUGACAUGAAUGGCUGCCAAAGAAGGAUUCAUUAAGAAUUUUUUUUAUUAACAAAAAAACACUGUAGACGUGGUAAGCCAUUUUCCUGGAAAAAUAAAAUGAAAAGGCAUUGAGUUGUUCAAAGACUCCAUAAAUCUAUACAUAGGCAAGUUCUCAGGAAAGAUUCAUCAUCAUCCCUCCAAAGCAAUUAAACUUGCAAGAAUUUAAGCUAGAAAGCCGCCUUACCAAGAUGAAAGGUGUUCAUUUCCUAUCAGUAGCAUUUUCUCUCUUGGCUCUGGCUUCCUUAUUUGCCUCUACCUCUGACCCUAGCCCUCUUCAGGACUUCUAUGUAGCAAUCAAUGGCCCCAAGGAUGGAGGUAUGUCCACUCUUUGUUUGAACUUGUAUUGAAUAUAUUUAUGUCAAUGACUAAAAUAAAGGAACUCAGCCCAGAAAAGAGGCAACAGUUCUGCACAAAAAUACUACUACAAAUUAGAAAGAAUUUCUCUCUUUUUUUUCUUUUUUGUGUAGCAUGGUAGCAGCUAACAUAUUUUUCAAUCCUGUAGGGUUUGUUAAUGGGAAGUUCUGCAAGGACCCUAAGCUUACCAAAGCAGAAGAUUUCUUAUUGUCAGGCCCCAACAUGCCAAGAAACACAUCAAAUCGAGUUGGAUCAAAUGUCAUCACUGUCAAUGUUGACAAAAUACCAGGACUGAACACUCUUGGCGGAUCUCUGGUUUGAAUUGACUAUGCACCUUAUGGUGGCCUAAACCCCCCUCACACUCACCCCCGUGCCACAGAAAUCCUAGUCGUCAUGGAGGGCACACUCUAUGUUGGUUUUGUUACAUCCAACCCGGAGAACCAUCUCAUCACCAAGUCCUCAACCCCGGAGAUGUUUUUGUUUUCCCAGUUGGUCUCAUUCACUUCCAAUUCAAUGUGGGGAAAACCAAUGCUAUUGCCUUUGCUGUUUUGAGUAGCCAAAACCCGGUGUCAUUACAAUAGCAAAUGCAGUCUUUGGAUCAAAUCCAGCAAUUAACUCUGAUGUUCUUGUUAAGGCCUUCCAGCUGGACAUCAAUGUGGUCAAAUAUCUUCAGUCACAAUUCUAAUGGGAUAGCAAUUAGAGCAUUAUUUUAAUACACAUUAAGUUGUUGCUUAAUGAGGAUAUUGUUUGACAUGUUUCCCUGAUUAUUUAACAAUUCUUGUUGAAACUUACAAAUAAAUGGAAUAUUGCUUAUGUAACCUCUCUGUAUGUUUAAACUUCAUUAUAAUAAUAUUGAAUUUGGUUUCAAAACUUGGACCAACAUGUCAAGGUGUGUGUCAAUCUCAAAGGCCAGUGCAACAAUGAAAGCAGCUAUUAUAAAAUACUGUAGAAGAUUUUAAGCUAAAUUAAUUCUGGAGAAAUUUGAAGAAAGCUUGAAGAAUAAAGAGGAAAACAAAAACAGGGAUGAAGAUAUCAAAUCUGAGAAUCACAAGCCACACACAAAACAGUUACUUUAUAAGUAUUUAUGAACACCUAAAACCGUUCAAUCCUUUGAUUCAACCUUAGAAGACUUAAUCUGAGAGGAUGUUUCUAGAUACAAACGUGUCUUUGUUUUCAGUGUUGUGGCAACUGUAACUAAACCACCCACUACACUACCCAGUAAAACGUGGCUGUUAAGCCUACAACAAAAGACUCAAAUGACACAUACAUCCUAUUUUACUAUAUUAAUUACAAGAGUUUAAAAAUGACAAGACUCGUUUUUGUUUAGUAAAUCAGUAGCAAACUAAAAACGACCCCGUGCUGAGAAUCUUCUACAAUCUUCAAUUUCCAACUAGACUUAGCCACAUAUUUAACCAGAUUGGGAAUCAAUACUUCAACACAGCCCGAUGAUUCAUAAUCUGGUGAGCUCCAAGACACGAUCUGAGAUGCUCAAACCUUUCUCUUCCCAAGCUCUUGGAAAAAAUGUCAGCCAACUGGUUCUCUGUCUUGCAAUGUUUCAACUCAAGUUCAUUCUCUUUUACAGCUUCUCUCAAGGCAUGAUAAUUAACCUUGAUAUGUUUAGUUCUCCCAUAUUGAACUGGACUUUUAGCAAUUGAAAUAGCAGAUAAAUUGUCAACACAUAUCAGAGUGCCUUGACUUUGCUCAAAUCCUAAAUCCAGCAACACUUUGCUCAGCCAUAAUGCAUGAUUUGUAGCUGCAGCACAAGCAAUGUAUUCUGCUUUAGCCGUGGACUGAACUACAACCUGUUGCUUCUUAGAAUUCUAGGCAAAAAUAGCACUCCCAAAAGAAAAACAAAAUCUUCUUGUACUUUUAGAAUCAUCUAAUGACCCCACCCAAUCACUAUCACAAUAGCCUAUAAGAUUACCACUGUCUUGUUUAACAUAAGUCAAGCCAAAGUUUAGAGUUCCUUUGACAUACCUUAGAGUCCGUUUGGCAAUUGUGAAGUGUAUUAGUGAAGGUUCUUGCAUAAACCUUGACAACAAACAGGUUGCAAACAUUACGUCUGGCCUGGUAGCAGACAAGUAUAGGAGAGAUCCAAUUAUGCUUCUAUAAAUCUAUCCAUUGGCCUUGGUAGAACCAUUUUCUUUGCUAAACUUAGCUCCAGUACUGAGAAAAGUGCUUACCUCCUUACACAAGCUCAUAUUGAACCUUUUCAGUAGGUCUUUAGCAUACUUAGCUUGAUGCAAGAAAAUCUGUCCUGUAGAUUGUUGUACUUCCAUCCCCAAAAAAUUGCUCAUCUCCCCCAAGUCAAUCAUUUCAAAUUCCUUCAUCAAUUAAAUUUUAAAAUCAGUUAGGUAACUGCUUUCAGGACCAGUAAGUAGUAAGUCACCUACAUAAAGAGCCACAACAAAUAAGACUUUCCCAUCUGAUUUCUUCACAUAUAAAGUGGACUCAUUGAUACUUUUUUGAAGUCCUUGGGCUUUGAAAUACUUGUCCACCCUGUCAUACUAGGCUUUAGGAGCCUGUUUUAGGCCAUAUAGGGCUUUUAUCAAUUUACAAACCUUACAUUCAGAGUUCUACUGUUCAUAUCCCUCGGGUUGAUCUACAUAAAUGUCUUUAGUCAAAUAGCCAUUUAGAAAAGCUGAUUUAACAUCUAGAUGAAAUAGCUUCCAUUCUUCUCUGGUUGACAGUGCCACCAACAUUCUUAUUAUGUCGUGUCUGGCCACAAGAGAAUAAGUUUCCAAGUAAUCAGCGCCAUACACUUGAACAUACCCUUUAACCACUAGUCUGGCUUUAUACUUUUUUAUAGAACCAUUAGGAUUUAAUUUGGUCUUAUAAAUUCACUUAACUCUAAUCACAUUUUUGUCAGCGGGUUUAUCAACUAAUGUCCAAGUACCAUUCUUGAUGAUCAUUGACAUUUUAGCAUCCACAACAGCCUUCCACUUACUAUCUGAAAUAGCUUCUUAGAAACUUGUUGGUUCUAAAAUAGCUACAUUGCAUCUGCUGUAGAUAUCUUCAAGACUCCUAACUCCUCUUACUGCUUUUGAUUCAUCUUCAAUGUCUGAGUCAUCACCAAAACUAACUUAUGUUGAUUCUUCAUCUGGAGUGAUCAUUUUCUUUAGGCUGUCAGAUGUUCCUUUUUCCUCAUUUCAAUACUGUCUUUCAUCAACUCUAACAUUUUUGUUGAUCUCAAUCUUUUUAGCUUCAAUAUUGUAGAUUCUAUACCCCUUUGAAACUUCACUAUAGCCAACUAAUAUAGCCACAUUAGCCUUGGAGUCAAACUUGGAUCUUUUCUCAUCAAGUAUCUUUAAGUAACACAAGCAACCAAAUGUCUUCAUGUGUGAAACAAAUGGCUUGUAUCCAAACCACAUUUCAAAUGGGGUUUUAUGCUCCAAUACCCUUGUGUACGACCUGUUCAAGAUGUAAUUGGACGUAUUUACUACCUCAGCCCAAAACUUUUUAGGUAAAUGCACUUGGUAGAGUAAGCAUCUGCCCAUUUCUGCAAGUGUUCUCUUCUUUCUUUCAACUUUCCCACAUUUGAAGCCAUAACUGUCAGUGAAUUAUAAUUGACAUGACCCAAUCUGUUGUGCCAUAUUUCAAACAAAUCAUAUUCAUUAUACAAGGCUAUGUAGGAGUAUUUAGCCAAGUUCACAGGAUAACAGUUAUUUUUAUCUCAACAGUGAACAUUUCAUCUCCAUAAGGGUCAAGCACUGUACAGUGGUUAUUUUUUAACAAUAAAGCAUACUUAUCUCUUGCUAACUGUCCAACACUAAGCAAGUUGUGAUUUGCUUCAGGAACAUAAUGCACAUUGUGAAUGAGUUUUAAACUAGAUUUAGUCUCUACAGUUAUUGUCCCUACUCCAAGUAUUUUCAUAAAUUCACCAUUUUCUAUUUUCACUUUAGAACUGUAACUGGUAUCUAACUGGGAGAAUAAAUUUUUGUUACCUAUCAAGUGAUGAGAGCAAGCACUAUUCAAUAACAAGAUGCUUGAUUUGGUAGAAUCUUCACCCAUUUUAGCCAUGAACAAAACCUCUUCAGUCUCCUCGGUCUGCUCAGCUACAUCAGUUUGAUCUUCUGUUAUUGACUUCUUGGCCUUGCACACUUUUUCUACAUGACCCAUCUGUUGACAGGCCCUGCACUUGACAUUUGGCAUAUACCAACAGUAUUUUGUUGUGUAAUUUCUCUUUUUACGAUUAGGACAAGGAAGGUACUUGUUAGUUGCUUUACCCUUCUUUCCCUUUUCAGCUUUGCUACCUUUUCCAUCAUUUUUUUUUAAGUUGUUUCCCUUGACUUUCAAGCCCUUUGUUCUUGCCACUAAGGCACUCUCAACAAAGUUUUCACCACUAAGAGCUCUUCUCCACUCCUGCGCUAAUAAAGCAUUGAUGAGCUCAUUAACAGAAAUCCUAGUCAAGUCCUUUAAGUCUUCAAGGGAGGAGAUUUUUGCUUCAAAUCUCUCAAGAAUGCAGAUCAGGAUUUUGUUAACAAUUCUUUUGUCACUAACUUCUUCUCCCAACCGUCUGAGUUGAUUCACAAGCUUUAAAGGCUUGUUAGUAUAGUCUUGAAUGCUUUCAUCUUCCUUCAUUUUCAGCAGCUCAAACUGUCUUGAGAUAUUCAACACCUGCAUAGAUCUUGUUCUAUCACUCCAUUGAUACUCUUCCUUCAAACUAUCCUAGACCUUUUUCAAAUCCUCAUAGUUCAUUAUUUUUGCAAAAAUUACUUUUGAAACAGCUGAUUGAAGGCAGAUAAGGGCUUUAUACCUCUUACCCACUUCUUCACUGCAUUGCUUGAUUUGGGCUAAAGUAGGAUUGGCAUGCCUUUGUACUGGUAUUUAACCAGACUCUACCACAUCCCAUAAGUCAAAAGCCUUAAGAUAGGAGCACAUUUUGAUCACCUAAAAAGGAUAAUUAUCACUAGAGAAGAUCGGAGGAGCAGCUACACUGAAACCAAUUGUAGCCAUGGGGUUGAAUCAAGAAAAUCAAUUGAAAACUUUGUAGAAGAUUUUGAUCACAAGUCCUUUGAGAAAUGUUGCUCUAAUACCAUGUAGAAGAUUUUAAGCUAAACUAAUUCUGGACAAAUUAUAGGGUUAAAUAGGCUUCAACAAACAGGCUUUCCAAUGAAAUUUUCCAUUGGAAAUUUGAAAUUUUGCCCAUUUUUUUUAGAAAUUCGUUGGAAAAGGCAAUUCCAACGGAAAAUUCUGUUGGAAAGCCUAUUUUCAACGAAAAAAACGGUUGGAACAAUUCCCGUUAGAAAGUCUAUUUCCAACAGAAUUUUCGUUGGAAAUCCUAUUUCCAACGAAAAAAUCUGUUGGCAUUUCCAACAGAAUUUUUCGUUGGAAAUAUUUUGACCUAUUAUUUUUAUAAUAAAUUUUCAGUAAAACUUACUAGUUUUCAUUCCGAUACUAAAUUUAAUUCCACAUUCGAACUGUAAAAUAUAUAAAAGAAAAACACAUUACAAAAUUUCCAUUCAAGUCCUAAUAUCUAAUUAGAAAUUAUCCUUAACAAACAAUAUAUAAAAUAGUUCGAUACAUAUGAAUAUUAAACAUAACUAAAUUAAAACGUUUAGGCUUGUAACCCUAAAUCAAAUAAUUAAAACACAAUAACAUCAUUAAAAAUACCUAGGUCGCAUCAAUUGAUAAACAAAUAUUGAUAAAAUCAAAUAAACAAGAUAUACAAAAUUAACCCCUAGGGCUAGGGAUGUCAACUGGUCGGGUACCCUAUAAUUUCGAGGUACCCGAACCCUAACCCUAUAAAAAAUCAACUACUCUAACUCUAUUAACUAUCCGUAUAAUUUUAAAAUUACUACCCUAACCCUAAUCCUAUUACAUUUUUACUACCCUAUAAUUACCCUAACCUGUUUAAAAACCCGAUUAUAUUAAAAAAUUAUUAAAAUCUUCUUCAUAAAAUUUCUCAACGUAUACCCAAAUUCGUAUACAUAUACAAUAAUAUUUCUCUACGUAUUUCAUAAAAUUAAUUACUAAUUAAAUUAAUAAAAACAAAUAUAAUAAAAUUUAAAUUUAAAUAAUCAAAAACAAAAAUCUUAAACAUAAACUUAAAUAACUAAAAACAAAUAUCUGGGGAACCAAAAAACAGCAUUCUCACCAAAAGUCAAGUCUGAAAGUACUAAUUGCAAUCUGGGGUAAUGGAAAACUCUCGAGUAAACUAAUGACAACAUCGACAUUGGCAUGUUCCAUUAAUUCCUAGGGUAUCAUUUUUCAAUAACAGACAGUACUAAUAUCAUUAAGAUAUUAAUAGACAACAAUAGCAACACAUCAACUCUAAAAACUAUUUGAAGCAGUCAAUAAACUAGUAUCAAUUUUCAAUUAUAGACAGCACUAAUUGAAGCAGAAAAUCUUGUUUGCAUAACAAUUAUUAAGAAUGAACCUAGUUUAACAAAAUCCUAUGCCAAAAUCUCAGCUGGGGAAGAACAAGGGCAUGGGGCUUGAGGCGACACCGAGGCAGCCGACAGGGCGUGGCUGUGGCUGGACGGCUUGGGAGAAAACAAAGAUGAACCGAUGAAAGAGCCGAGCGUGGCGUGGUAGGCCGACAGCUAGGGAAGAACAAGGGUGUGGGGCUUGGGGCAACAUUGAGGCAGCCGGCAAGGCAUGGCUGUGGCUGGGCGGUUGGAGAGAAAAGAAAGAUGAAUCGAUGAAGGAGUCGAGCUUGGCGUGGUAGGUCGGUAGCUGACGAGCGUUGCGUGGUAGGCCGGCAGCUGGGGUCGGGGAAGAACAACAGAAGAAGGACUCGAUUAAGGGAGGCAAGGAGCGACUACCGAUUAGAAGAGAAGAAAGAAAGAAAAAAGAAGGGUAAGGGGUGGCUAGGGUUUUUAUUUUUUAUUCAUUUUCUCUUUUUUUUAACAUCAAUUACUAUUACAUAAACAUUUCACAUUUGGAUUAAUGUGCAAAAAACACAUUUUGUUGUAUAAAUUUUAUAAGUUUAUAAAUUAUCAUUUUUAUAAUAUUAAUAUAAAAUAAAAAAAUAAAUAUAUAUUAAAAGUAUUAUAGUGUAUAUACAAAAUAGUAAUUAUAUUUUUUUAAAUAAAUCAAAUUUAUAUAAAGCAUAGUUAUUAAAAGACCUUAUAAUUUAAUUAAUAAUCAUAAUUUUAUUGAUUAUAUGAAUUUGUCCUUAGUUACAUGAAAUUUAAAAAAAUAGCUAAGUUUCAAAAUAUAUUAUUUAGUAAUUAAUUUAUACAAUAGUAAUUAUAUUCUUUAUAAAUAAACAUAAUAUAUAAUAUAAAGUAUAUGUGUUAAAAGACAUUACAAGUUAUAUACUAUAAAAGUGUAUAUAUAUAUAUAUAUAUAUNNNNNNNNNNNNNNNNNNNNNNNNNNNNNNNNNNNNNNNNNNNNNNNNNNNNNNNNNNNNNNNNNNNNNNNNNNNNNNNNNNNNNNNNNNNNNNNNNNNNNNNNNNNNNNNNNNNNNNNNNNNNNNNNNNNNNNNNNNNNNNNNNNNNNNNNNNNNNNNNNNNNNNNNNNNNNNNNNNNNNNNNNNNNNNNNNNNNNNNNNNNNNNNNNNNNNNNNNNNNNNNNNNNNNNNNNNNNNNNNNNNNNNNNNNNNNNNNNNNNNNNNNNNNNNNNNNNNNNNNNNNNNNNNNNNNNNNNNNNNNNNNNNNNNNNNNNNNNNNNNNNNNNNNNNNNNNNNNNNNNNNNNNNNNNNNNNNNNNNNNNNNNNNNNNNNNNNNNNNNNNNNNNNNNNNNNNNNNNNNNNNNNNNNNNNNNNNNNNNNNNNNNNNNNNNNNNNNNNNNNNNNNNNNNNNNNNNNNNNNNNNNNNNNNNNNNNNNNNNNNNNNNNNNNNNNNNNNNNNNNNNNNNNNNNNNNNNNNNNNNNNNNNNNNNNNNNNNNNNNNNNNNNNNNNNNNNNNNNNNNNNNNNNNNNNNNNNNNNNNNNNNNNNNNNNNNNNNNNNNNNNNNNNNNNNNNNNNNNNNNNNNNNNNNNNNNNNNNNNNNNNNNNNNNNNNNNNNNNNNNNNNNNNNNNNNNNNNNNNNNNNNNNNNNNNNNNNNNNNNNNNNNNNNNNNNNNNNNNNNNNNNNNNNNNNNNNNNNNNNNNNNNNNNNNNNNNNNNNNNNNNNNNNNNNNNNNNNNNNNNNNNNNNNNNNNNNNNNNNNNNNNNNNNNNNNNNNNNNNNNNNNNNNNNNNNNNNNNNNNNNNNNNNNNNNNNNNNNNNNNNNNNNNNNNNNNNNNNNNNNNNNNNNNNNNNNNNNNNNNNNNNNNNNNNNNNNNNNNNNNNNNNNNNNNNNNNNNNNNNNNNNNNNNNNNNNNNNNNNNNNNNNNNNNNNNNNNNNNNNNNNNNNNNNNNNNNNNNNNNNNNNNNNNNNNNNNNNNNNNNNNNNNNNNNNNNNNNNNNNNNNNNNNNNNNNNNNNNNNNNNNNNNNNNNNNNNNNNNNNNNNNNNNNNNNNNNNNNNNNNNNNNNNNNNNNNNNNNNNNNNNNNNNNNNNNNNNNNNNNNNNNNNNNNNNNNNNNNNNNNNNNNNNNNNNNNNNNNNNNNNNNNNNNNNNNNNNNNNNNNNNNNNNNNNNNNNNNNNNNNNNNNNNNNNNNNNNNNNNNNNNNNNNNNNNNNNNNNNNNNNNNNNNNNNNNNNNNNNNNNNNNNNNNNNNNNNNNNNNNNNNNNNNNNNNNNNNNNNNNNNNNNNNNNNNNNNNNNNNNNNNNNNNNNNNNNNNNNNNNNNNNNNNNNNNNNNNNNNNNNNNNNNNNNNNNNNNNNNNNNNNNNNNNNNNNNNNNNNNNNNNNNNNNNNNNNNNNNNNNNNNNNNNNNNNNNNNNNNNNNNNNNNNNNNNNNNNNNNNNNNNNNNNNNNNNNNNNNNNNNNNNNNNNNNNNNNNNNNNNNNNNNNNNNNNNNNNNNNNNNNNNNNNAAAAUAAUUAAUAAAAUUUAUAAAAUUUAAAUUUAUAAUUGGAAAAAUUAUGACUAUUCCCAACGGAAAAUUUCAUUAGAAAGUUUAAAAAGUCAUAAACGCUUUGAUGCAUUAAAAAGUUACUUUCCAACGAAAAAUUUCGUUGGAAAUUUCAUUGGAAAGUUACUUUUUUCAAUGCAUCAUUGACUCUUUAACUUUUCCAACGAAAUUUUCUGUUGGAAAAGUUAAAGAUUACAUAGGAAAUAUUUAGGGAAAAUUUUCGUUGGAACUCCGUUGAAAAUAAUUAACAGUAAAACGUGUGUUCUGAAAAUGAAAUUUUCAACGGAUUUUCAAUGAAAAAUUCCGUUGGAAACUAUCAAGAUUACACUCGUUUUUUUUUUUUUUAAGUUUAAAGCUCCAACGGAUUUCCAACGGAAUUUUUCGUUGAAAAUAUUAAACAGUAAUAUGUGUGUGUUGUACAAGUCAAAUUUCCAACGAAAAUUUCCGUUGAAAAAUUUUCAACAGAAAUUCGUUAGAAAUCCGUCGGAACAAGUAUUUAAAAAUUUUAAUUAAAUUCCGUUGGAAAUCCGUUAUAAAUCCGUUGAAAAUUUUCAACGGAAUUUUUUCCGUUGGAAAUUUUCAACGGAAUUUUUUUCGUUGGAAAUACAAUGAUUUUUUGUAGUGUGCAUAGAAACCUGAAAACAAACCAUUAUUUUUCUUGUUCCAAUUGUGAACUACACAAAUGACUAACCAACAAGUCAUAAGCCGUCCCAUUUACUCAUGAAGAUGGAGUUCUGCAAUCCCAUAUGUUAUAGUUGGCAGCUAUGUUUCAUGGACUCUACACUUUACCCUAAUAUGAUCAUGCCCAGUACUUUUUGGACAACUUCAAUCAACAUAGACACAAUACUUAGAUACUCAAACCUAAUGAAAAAAAUUGCCAAAAAUAUGACAUAAUCAUGUCAGAUUAGUACCCAUGUUUGAACCAGGAACCUCAAACCAUGUUAAAUAAGUUGGUAUCUGUAGCAUUGGCCCAAUUCAAUUUUGCAUCAUUGCAUGUAUAUCACCAAGAACUAUUAGUCCUUUUAUGCCUUAGCUUUAAACCCGUUCAACACUCUCUGUUGAUAUUGGGAUUAACUGUUGGGGUUUAGCCUAGUGGAAAAGGGGCUCAUCAAGUACAUUCUGUAAAUUUGCAAACUAUUUGGGGAUUGGGAUCAAUUUCCUAUCCUAGUGGCUAGAACUUAAGUUGUAUCUGUGUUUGGUGGUGUGCUGCAAGUCAGUUGAGGUUUACCAAUAAGGUUGUUGCUCAUCAGCAUAUAAAAAAAUUUAGAAAAAAAAAAAAAAGAGAUUUUGUUAAGCAGCUGAACCUUCUCUGCUAACUUACAGAGUUGUUAGACAAUCUAGAUUGAAAUGUUCGCAUGGAUUUUCCAGAAGUGUGAAUUUUCUGCAAUGAUUGGAUAUGACUUGGUAAAGUCAAUUUCUUCUUAUAUAAGGACCUAAAAAUUUGGAGUUUGGACAAUGUUGCAUUAACCUACUGCGAACACUAAUCCAUUUACAUGAAAGAUGCCUUGCUGUUGCUGCAGCAAGUAUUAUAUCAGAUUAUUUACUCAAAGCAGUUAGUUUGAGACCUUCCUCGUGGUCAAAGUUAUAGUUACUUGAACCUUUUCUUUUUUUAAUUUAUAGUUGAAUUGGCUUACUAGAACUCAUUUGUCAUAACUCAUGACAAAGACAACCUUUCAAUCCAUUUUUUUCAUGUUUUUUUAUCUAAGAAAACAAUUUCUGUGUCAAGAAAAAUGCUUCUGUUCUCACUUCUUUUGGCAUAUAAUAAUUAAACCAGAUUCUUUUGCCCCUACUUGUCCACAGCUCUAUCCAAAGAAUUGAGCCUGAAAAUAUGAAACUCUUCUUUGAAAAGACAAAAAAAAAAAAAAAAAAACUGUGUAAAGUAGAAACUGCCAAAUUGGAAUGAAGAUUGAUUUGAUACCAGAAACCUAAUGUCAGUACCAACCUUGUCUUGAACAAUUACUGGUGAACAGUUAAACAAAGAGGGGAACGAGUCCCAGAAGUAGUUUACUUUCUUGCCAGACUAGCUACGCAACAAUUGGGUCAUUAGACACAAAAUUUUCUGAAAAUUAAGUAGGCUGUGAACAUCAGUCUUAGAUGUUGCAGUCCCCUUGACAUGAGAUUGGUUGUGCUUUACCUACCAAUAUAUUCGUCGCCCCUCUUUGAGCAAUGUGCUUUGCUGAUUAGUUAAUAAACAUAUAUAGAAACCACCAAAGCCUCUUCAACGUUCAUAGAGCAAGUAUCUGUGUAUAAUAUUCAAUACUCAAGUUAUGUUCAAUUCAUAUCAGUUUCGACUGAUUCAUCGACAAUUCUCAUACUAUUUCUUGCAGCAUCAGUUCUACACCAGUCCAGUCAUGCUAACUAAGUGGUCAAAAUGAUAAAACAAAUACGUAGCGGUAAAGCAAGGUUAAUUAAUCUUACAAGAAAUUGAUGUUUUCAAUGUAAUUGUAACACCCUGCACCCUCGUAUAAUAGUUAACAUAACAGUCCCGGUAAGACGAAGGAAUAAUUGAUGCGAGUUUAUGUGCUAAAGAGUGAUAAAGGAGUAAAGGAAUGCUCCAAAGUAAAAUAUUUCGUACACGUGAAAAUAAUAAUUAAAUAAUAAUAUCUUCGUCGAAAAUAAAUUAACGCGUUAAAAGGUGAUUUGGAAGUGAAACGGGACAUAAUAAUAUGUUUCGAUAUGAGAGGAAAAAAAUUUUUUAAUAAAAUAAUAUUUUAUUUAAUAAAAUAAUAUUAAAAUAUUACUAAUAAUAAUAACAAUAAAUGAAUAAAUAAAUAAAAUGAAAUGAAUAAAGAAAAGAUGAAUAAUGAAAUGGUAGGACGGGUGGAAAAUGAAGCAUGGCUUUUUUACUUUACUUUGACCACAUGGGAGAAAAAAAAAUGGAACAAAGGUGGAGUGGGCAGCCGCCCAUGUGGUAAAUAAAUAAGUUAAAAAAUAUUUUUUUUUUUAAGUUGAUGAAUUGAGUUAGUAGGGGCCGGCCAUUUGAUGAAUAAUAAAGGAGGAAGAAAUGAUGGUGCGAGGUCAGCCAAGUAAAACUAAAUAAACAAAUAAAUAAAUAAGUAAAUAUAGUUGACAAGCACAAAAUGGAUAAGGAUGGUCGGGAAGAAUAACAAGAAAAAGGGAGAAAGGCUGAACUUUGAGGAGACAAAACGGGAAAGAGAGAGAGAGAGCUGGUGAGAAAGAAAAAUUUAUUUUCUCAUGUUGCUGCCGACAGCCACUUACGGAGAAAAAAAAAAAGGGAAAGGAGCUGAUUUUGAGAGAGGAAAGGGGGCUGAUUUGCUGCCGAUUUAAGGAGGAAAAAGGAGGCUGUGUGCUGUCGAUUUUUGAGAGGAAAAAGGGGCUUUGUGCUACUGGAUUUUGAGGAAGGAAAAGAGAGGAAGCUGGGUUUUUGGGGUGCUGUCGACCAUGAGAGAGAAAGGACGAAACUGUGGCUGGCGUUGAGAGUGAAGGAGGUAUGAUGGUGGCUGCAAAUAUGGUAAAAAAAAAAAAGAGCAGAAGAGAGAGAGAAAGAAACGGGAAAAGAAAGAAAGAAAAAAAGUGGUAAGUUAAUAUUAUAUUAAGGUUUAUAGGUGGUUUAAUAUUGUGUAUAUUUUGAAUGAAAAAUAUGCAAUUUGGUUAAGGAAUUUUUAUUAAGCUGCUCUUCAUACAAGUGUGUGAUUAAGUAUAUUGAGUUUAAAUUGUUGCUAGGAAAGUUUAUCGUAAAAGCAUGUCGGACGAAGUACGUGAUUGGCAAAUAGAAAUAAUUAUACACACGUAUGAAUCAAUAACGACAUAGUAAUUUCGCUAUUGUGAGGUGAGUAGGGGCUGUUAAUUUUAAAAUUUUUGUAAAUAUAUACCUAUGCGUAUAAUUUAUUUUAAACGUGAAAAUUGUGGAUAGCAUGUGCUGGUAGCAAUCCUAGGAAAUUGUGGUUGCAAAUUAUGUUUAGAAAUCAUUUUGAAUAUAUAUAUAUAUAUAUAUAUAUAUAUAUAUAUAUAUAUAUAUGUGUGUGUAUAAAUUAUAUGUAAAGUGUUUUGAAAAUGAGGAAACAAGUCUUUUCACACUGUUUUAUAUCAAAAUUUGUGUCUUGUAUUUAUGCAGUGUGCAUUUAUGAUUAUAUUGCUUAUCACCAUGCGAAUUAUUGUUUUGAAAUUCAUGCAUAAAUAUAUUUUGAGAAAAUUAUAGAUUUUAUCAUAUGUUAUGUUGAAUGUUUGGAAAUAAUUUUGAAACGAGAUUUCAAGGACAUAACAAAAUUUUUAAAAUGGAUUUAUAAACAAGAGACUCGAGAGUAGGCCGGUUGUCACUUCGGUUAAGUGUGACCCUCGUGCACGAGUGAACUCUAGCUAGAGAACCUUCGGGUUGUCGACGGGCGGUUAGGCAUGGCGGGGGCUAUGGCCUGUGAUAUAUGUAUACGUGGCUAGGCCAUCAGUGAUACGCGGUUGUGACCGCUUGAUUCUCCGAUGUCAGUCAACAUCGUUGAGAUUGCCAUGGCACAUGGGAAUCCGGUGGAAGCGAUGCUCCCGGAUGUUAUUACGUGGUAGCGGGACCACGGGUUUAUUUUCAUUCCCUACUCGAGAGUGGCAUCUCUGGAUUUCAAACUCAUAUCUCUUUGCAUGGUGAAAACGAAAUUUAACGGUUUUUCCAUAGCUCCUCUUUUUUUUACGAUGAAAUGAAUUUUAACUCCUCGCAUACAAGGUGAUUUGUGAUUUAUGUAUAAGUUUAAAUAACAUUCGAUUUCAUGGGAGCUUGCCCGAAUUUAUUAAAUUGAUUUGAGUAAAAUGUCAAUUGAUUUCGACGGCGAAAAUCCUUUUAUGUACAAUUGUUUUAAAAUAAUAUUUCAAAUGAUUGUCUUGAAAAAGGUUAUUGAUUUGUUUCUGAGGGGAAACUUUUAUCUACUUGGUUGAUUUAACACUUGAAAUUAUUACAAUACAUAAGAAAUUCUUUGUUUUUCAUAUAAGGCACAAACGUCCAUUUGAAAUAAAUUGUUUUUAUAAUCCUGCAUUUUUAAUAUCAAUUGAUCUGUUGUUUGUUUGUUUCUCAUUUACGCCCUACUCACGGAGCCAAUGAUCACUAAGUCUGUGAGACUCACACCCCUCUUUUUCCCCUUUUGCAGACAAAGAUCAGCCUAGCAUGUAAUCAUCAGCACGUUCGGUUCACCACAAAUAGGUAAAGGUAUCUCAUAGCAUUUUAUCCUGAGUCGCUCCGCUGUUAGAAGUUGAGUUAUAGUACUUUGGUUUUACUAUGUAAACGAAUAUUAGUUUGGAUAUAAACGAAAAUUUGAGAUUUUUGAACCCAAUGUAUUUAAUUGUGAUGUCACGACUUAAAAGUCAAAAUUCAAUGGCUAUGCUUGUUGUUGAAUAUAUGUUAUAAAUAUAUAUGGUUCAAACAUUAAUACGGUUUAGUAAAAGUGUACAGUGAGUUAUUGAGAAAUUUCUUUCAGACUUGUUCGGGACUUGACGGAAUCUCCGGAGUUCUCGGAUGCCGGUAGCGAUCGAGGAGGGGUCGUUACAGUAAUAAGCAUACAUGUCAUAGGUUAAGUAUCUAUGAACAUGUCAGAAUAGACUUUUCAACCUGAGAUAUCUUCAGCCAAAAAACCAGAAGCUCUAAGUCUUAACGUAAAUUUAUCGCAAUUGUGCUCCAUGAAUCAUGCUAUUAAUUUGUAUAUAAAUUUAUUGAGUUCUACGUAAAAUCUGUUGGCCUGUUGCACCAGCAUAAUAAAUAAUAAAUUCACAUUUAGUACCUUAAUUGAAUUAAGGAGAAAAAAUAAGCCACCAAAAGAAAGAAAUAGUCUUGCUAUCAUUAAUUAGUACUGUUUUAGGAAAUUAGCAUGAGAAGAUGGAAAAUCAUAUGCAAUUUCUAGAUAACAUUCAACAUGGAUGGUGAAAUGUCAGGAAAGUGAUAGAUAGUAUAGAGGCAUACCAUUGGAUAAGAGCCCAUACAGUUUAAGAAUAGAAACAGAAUUCUAAAGUCAAACGAGAGAUUGGUUGCCUGACUUUCAGAUGCAACCUACACUCUGAAAACAUCAUAGACAGAAACAUGACAACUUCCAAGACCAAUUUUUCAAUAAUGUAAGCAUAAGGUUGAGUAAAAAAAACCAGCAUAAUGAAUAAAUGAGUGAAACUUUUUUGGAGAUUAAUUAAUGAUUCUUCUUGAAAAGUCUUUACCUGCUAGUUAAUGAAAAUAUUGACCUGGUCAUUGGCUUCCAUCUAUUUUUUUUUUCUUUUGAAAAGCCAUUGGUUUCCAUCUAUAAAUAGCACUGCCUGCCAUACAAAGUUUCUCACUCUUCUCCAAAACCAAUAGCAUACAACUAGCUAACUCAAAGUAAGCAAAGCUUAGCUGGUAUAUCAUAACGAAAGGAAUUCACUGCUUCCUUGUUGCUUUUACCCUCUUGGCUUUUGCUAACUCAUUAGCAUCAGCCUUCGACCCUAGUCCUCUCCAGGACUUUUGUGUGGCUAUCAACGACACCAAGAAUGGCGGUAGGCAUUUAGUCUAAUUAUGUUUUCAGGACUUUAUGUUAUAUUCAUGAUGCCAAUGCCUGAGCUGAAGGACUUUUAGCUUAGGAGGAAUAUUUUUUUAAUAAUAUAAUAGCAUUGCUAAAAGGUACUAUGCUUUUGCAUGGGAUGAUAUACGUAUAUCAACUAACCUGUCUUUCCUGCAGUGUUUGUAAAUGGGAAGUUCUGCAAGGACCCAAAGCUCGCAGUAGCAGAUGACUUCUUCUAUUCAGGCCUCAACAUGCCAGGAAACACAUCCAAUCCAGUUGGAUCAAAUGUCACUACUGUCAAUGUUGACCAAAUACCAGGACUUUAACACCCUUGGCAUAUCUCUGGUUCGAAUUGACUAUGCACCUUAUGGUGGCCUAAACCACCCUCACACUCACCCCCGUGGCACUGAAAUCCUAGUGGUCGUGGAGGGCACACUCUAUGUUGGUCCUGUUACAUCCAACCAGGAGAACCGUCUCUUCACUAAAGUCCUAAAUCCUGGAGAUGUUUUUGUUUUCCCAAUUGGUUUGAUCCACUUCCAGUUCAAUAUAGGGAAAACUAAGGCUGUCGCCUUUGCUGGUCUCAGCAGCCAAAAUGCAGUGGUUAUAACUAUUGCUAAGGCAGUCUUUGGCUCAAACCCACCAAUCAAUCCAGAUGUUCUCACAAAGGCCUUCCAGUUGGACAAGACUGUGGUUAGCUAUCUUCAGUCCCGGUUCUGGUCAGAUUAAAAACUAAUUUAAGAGCCAAAUCAAAACCCAGAAGUUUGUUGCUUGUUUUGAAUAAUGUUGCCAUUAAUUUUCUACAUAAAAAUCAUAUUAUUCUACUUACUGUAAUACAAUAAACAGGCUGGUUGAUGAUGUACCUCUCUAGUCUCCUCUGUCCUUGUGAUCAUUCUGGGUAUAAAAAUCAUAAUAUAUACGUCAAUUUGCAAUCUCUCUCUCAUGCUCGUAUGUGUAUACAAGGUAAAAAGCAGGUAGAAUUUUACAGAAACAAGUCAAGUAACUUUGAAGCAAUAUACUUUGUAUUCUUUUGCAAGUGUCAAAAUAUAGUGCAAAAAUAAGAGGUUGAUUACCCAAUGGUCUGAGGUGUGCACUAGUAAUGAUAAACAUUGUCUGAUGAAGAGGUUGAGAUAUGAACAACUUCAACAUAACAUUAUAAUCAGAGAAAUCAGAUUAGGGUGAAAAUUAAACAGGAUAUUAAUUUGCUGACUCUUGGGGUUGAAUCAAUUACAUAUUCAACACCCCAAACCCUGCCUUCCCCUGCGAGGUACACUGCAUAUAAAAUAAUUCUGAAGGUGGAAUUCUACAGAACCAAAUGCUUUGCCUGUUAGAUAAGUUGGUACGUUCAACUUCGAUCCAAUUAAUUGUGUCCAAAAUAUCACUAAGAAGACAAGGCAUGUCCCUCACUUUGUAGAGUAACCUGGUAGAUAUUAGGUGGAAAAAAAAAAAAAAAGAACAGAGUUGUUGAGGUGCAGAACGUUCUCUUAGUAUGCUUGUGAGACUAACUAAGGUUUUUUAUUUUUUUUUUCUUUAAUGGCCAGACGAGUUGAUGAGUUGUUAGACAAUCUAGAAUUGGAAUAUAUCCAUAAGGAUACUAAAGAGUUAAAUCUGUAAUGAAUUGAUUUUAUGACUCGGUGAAGUCAGUUGCUUAUUGAUGUAAUUAGAUCUUGAAUACUGGUGUAUAAGCCUAAACCGAAGCUGUCAGUUUGUCCAUAUAUUAAAGUACAAAUGCCUUGCCCUUGCUGCUACAUCUUGCCAUAGCUAUCUACUUCAUCUGCUAGCUCAGGGCCUUGCACAAUCAACAUGUUCGUUACUUGCUCCUUUACUCCCUUUUCUGUUUCUGCCUUUUUCAGUAAUUCAGUUGUUUUAAAAAUUGAGUGAUCUUACAAGAACUCAUGAGUCAUGACAAAUUUGAAAGACAAGUCCCUAUAAAUGUCAAGAGAAAUGCUUCUGUUCUUCAUUUCUUGUGGCAUCUAAUUAACUGCGUAUGCUUCUUUGCCUAAUAUUAAUCUGAUGACAGGUAGAAGCUGCCAUGAAAAUAUGAAACUCUUCUCAGAACACAUCAUAAGAUAAACUGAUUAAUUACAAAGGAUACAUAUAUAAUGUCAGCAACAAAUUUGUAUUAAAUAAUAACAUGUGAUCUCUCACAUAAAUAUGAUUCAAAGUCUUUGAAGUAACAGAAGUAUUCAAGUUUACUUCUUCUUUUUUUCACGUCUGAAAGACUGACUAGGCAAAUUUGAGUCAUUACACGUUACACGGCCACAAUUGCAAGUUGCAAUCCAUUGAACAGGAUCUGCAUAGUAUAAUCUGUUGAUAAUUUUUUUGUAGCUCAAUGUCAUUAUCACCUACCAAUACUUUUAACAACUAUUCUUAUUGUUCAUUAAUAAUGUUAUGCAAGAUAAUUAAUCACUUGCUAUUUUGCCAUUUGGCUUUGAGCAGUUGCUUCCCUGGUUAGUUCACCAAAUAAAGAAAUCACCAAGUGACCUCAAUGCUCAAUGAUUAUUCAUGUCUGUGAGAGUUACAACUGAGUCAUCACCCACAAUUCUUGAAACAGUUUCUUCCAGCCACAGUUUUGCCAAUUCUAAGAUCAAUUCAAAGCGGCCCUAAUUAAUUUUUGGCUAAUUGAAGAUGUUUGAGUCUAGCAUGAUUAAUUGAACUUGCAAGAAAUUACUAAUGUUGUGAAUGUGAUAAGCACAGAUGUAAUAUGUUUGAGUAUUCAUGAACAUGUCAGAUUAGACUUUGUCAAUUGAGACUAUAUAAUAUGUUGAUUAGUUAGAAACCUUGAAUGUAGCAUAAGUUUUUGUCUCAUUAGCACUUCUUAGAUCAUGCUAAUUAUAAGGAAGGAAUUGAGUUCAACAGACAAAACUUUGCCGGCUAUUUGCAGCAACUCCAGAUAUAAAUGAAAUUAUCUCACUCAAAUAAUGAAUAAAAAAAAGGACAAAGUUUAAGGUAUGAAGAAGACUAUGUAAAACUGUUUAUGAUCAGUUCAUAUUUGAUGGUAUGUGAUGCACUUCCUAAAUAUCUAUAAACUUAUUUACUUAGGAAACAUUCAUUUGCUACCUAAUCCAAAUUUUUUAUAAAUGUUUGUAAUUUCAAAGAAGUCGCAAAUAAGUUAUGACUGUUUCAUAAUGUGGAGAAUUAUAGCCCAACAGCAGGUUAUCAAAUAUGAACUUGUUUCUAGCAUUCCUUUCCACAAAGACAACACAGAAUAAAUCAACGUAUAAAACUUCAAUCCAAAAAGAAAAAUAUAGGAAAGAUACAUAGAAGUCUUAAGUGAAUUACGACCUGUUCCACGACAAUAUCCAUGCCAUGGAUGAGGAAAACGGGACUAGAAAGUGUAGUUGUUGAAGAAUGAUUCAUCCCCGAAAUAGAAAAUAACUAGUUGCAAAGGCACAUGGCCAGUAGUCACCAACUUCAUUGAGAGGAAACAAGGACCAGUUCAUUUGUUUUCCAUCUAUAAAUAGACCUUUCUGCCAUGCAGGAUUUUCAUCCCUCUCCCAAGUAGUAGCAUACAGCUCCACAAGGUAGGAUAGAUUUCCUGCAAUCGGAAUUGUAAUGAAAGGAGUUCCACUUUUCCUUGUAGCUUCUGCCUUCUUGGCCUUCGCUUGGUCAUUAGCCUCAGCUUCUGACCCUAGCCCUCUCCAAGACUUCUGUGUAGCCAUCAAUGACACCAAGGAUGGCGGUAUGUUAUAGUAUUACGUUUUGUCUUUCAGCACUUUCAUGUUAAUUAUUAUUUUAUGUCAAUGACUAUAAUUUCCACUACGAGCCAUAUUUUUCUCAUAAUUAACGAACAUUACUUUCAUUGAUGCAGUGUUCGUAAAUGGGAAGUUCUGCCAGGACCCAAAGCUUGCCAAGGCAGAAGACUUCUUCUAUUCAGGGCUCAAUAUCCCCAGAAACACAUCAAAUCCAUUGGGAUCAACUGUGACUCAGGUCAAUGUUGCACAAAUACUAGGCCUUAACACUCUUGGCAUAUCUCUGGCUCGAAUUGACUAUGCUCCGUACGGAGGCCUAAACCCCCCUCACACUCAUCCUCGUGCCUCUGAGAUCCUAGUAGUUUUAGAGGGCACACUUUAUGUUGGCUUUGUUACAUCCAACCCAGAGAAUCGUCUCAUCACCAAAGUCUUGUACCCUGGAGAUGUGUUUGUUUUCCCAGUUGGUCUCAUCCACUUCCAGCUCAAUAUAGGGAAAACUAAUGCAGUUGCCUUUGCUGGUCUCAGCAGCCAAAAUCCAGGAGUUAUCACUAUUGCAAAUGCAGUGUUUGGCUCAAAGCCUCCCAUCAAUCCUGAUGUUCUCACCAAGGCCUUCCAGCUGGACAAGAAUAUUGUUACCUCUCUUCAGUCCCGGUUCUGGUGGGACAACAAUUAAUUUGAAUAAUGUGUCAUGAAUCCAUAAGAUAUGGUAGUUUUUUAU
rnacentral:lncRNA from 1 species